AUAGUAAAAUCUCUAAAAGGUCUUAUAUUUAGGUACGUAAGGAGUAUAUAAUUUUGACACAAAGAAUAACGUUUCAAAUACGAACGAGAUAACAUUUUGAAGAACAACAAGUUAUGACACAUGCCAUACAUCAAAAGCAGUAACUUUUUUUCCCAUAUGUUUGCAAACCAAAAUGGCCACACAUCUGCAAACUCACAAACACAGGACUGUACGGUCAGAGCAAUGGCAGGAGCUAGUUCAUUCCUGAAUCCAACAAUGCUAGAGAUUUCUCCUUCUUUUUCAUAAAUAAAGAGGUUGUGCCACCAUGCUAGAGGUUCGCCAAAGUCACCAGGUGACAACAUGAACCUACCGUGAUGGACUACCGUCCUCUUCAAAAAACAGACACUCACUCAAUAAGUUGUUCUGAUUCCUCGCAACCCUAUGUGGAAAGUGCACACCUUUCCAAUGCAUGUGCCUUGAAUUUGUUGAGCCGAACCCCAUGAAUGUUAUCCGGUCAAUGUUCGUAAGCAUUGUUUUCGUUGUAUCAUUGAUACUCUGUGUUGUCUUCUUUUCUCAUAUAUAUUGUUGGCUAUCUUGUAUUUCAACAAGUGAAGAACGAAAUCAUAAAUAAAUAAAGGAGUGAAGGAAGUUCUAGCGGAAUAUGUAUAUGGACGACUGGGUGUUGGAAUGUGUGUUGAAGAGAAGAUUAUAUAGGAAGCAGAGUUUGUGAAAAGAUAUGGUCGGUCAUAUAAUACAUCACAAUUUAAUGGCCAGCAUCUAACAAGAUGAGUAUUGUCUUAGAAAGAACUUUAAAAACUUGCAUUAAGGGGUCCUGAGUGCAUAUUAAUGCGUGGCUAUGAGUUUAUGAUCUUUUAAAUUACUUCUAUCAGCGUUUCAAAUUCUUAAAGGAAGGCCAAUUGAGCCUUGUGAUUGAGGUAACCAUCUAAGGCCUCUUUGGUUCAUACAAGAACUUGGUAAAAAUCAAAUAAAUGGGGAAUUUUCUCUUGGUCUCUUUGGUUAAAAUACAUGGAGAAAACAAAGAAAUGCAGGAAUUUUUCUCUUGGUCUCUUUUUUUCUCUUCUCAAUUUCAAAUAAAAAAGACAUUGUAAAUUUGAAACCCACAUGGACCACUUUUUAGAAUUCCUACACAUGAAGUACAAAAACAAGAUCUUUAGACUUAUAAGAACAUAUUAGUUGCAUUUUCUCAAGUGGUUUGACUUCAAUUUGGCUAUGUGAUAUAUUCAUGUGAAUUGAUAUCUUAAUUUGUAAAAUUAUUGUGUUUUCUAGACUCUGCUUUCUACAUGUUGCAGCAUUCAUAUCAUAUUUUCGUGUUUUGCAUAUUCCUAAGAUUUUCGAAUCUUGUGAGUUAAAUAACCUAUAACUCAAUCAUAUGUUCAAAGAGGUAGACAAAAUAACAUGCAUGCAUGCGCAUCAUCUUAUCUAGCUCACUAGAGCCGGCCAUUUGGCCCAUCUAGUAUCUCAUGAGACAUUUCACUAAUUCACUUAUUUGUUGCUUCUGGUAAGAGGUCAAAAGAAGAUUCAACAAUAGUUCAUUCCUAAACAUAUCCAUGUUAGGACCACUUGCAACUCGAGUUGAAUCAUUCGAUGUGUAGGAAUUGCAUACUUUUUGUAUCUUUUCAAAAUCAUUGACACAAAAUUCGGAUCCCUCUCACACCGAAUAAAGUGAAGAUUAUCUUUGUCAUGGAGGCGAAUGUGGUUGUUCAAUGUCAUAGUAGCCGCAACAAUCAUCUCUCGUGUUUCAAUCAAGUAAUUUGGCAUCUUGAGUAAAUUUUGUCAUUUCAUCUUCAAGAGGUGAAGCAUAAGUAAACUACCUAUCUAGGCAUAAAGCAAAAUGGAAAAAUAUUUUAGCAGCAUGCGCAUUCUUGGAGGAAGGCCGUCGCCUGCUCGAAGCUGAAGGAGGCGGAGGCUAAGCAUGGUGCAGGGCACAUGUACUCGGAUACAGUGGCAGGGGUCUCGGGCAAAGCGGCAUCAGCGGCCACCGCGACGCGGACGAGCUUGGAGAGCGAGUUCCCUCCCUCGGUGACGAAGGCAUGGUCGUGCCCCAUGAAGUCGUUGGGCGUUGGAGUGGAGGUCGGGGAGAAGAUGGGGACGAAGGGGACGAAGGGGAGGCGGUGGCAUUUGGUGGCGCAAACGAUGAAGGCCUGGGCAUGGGCCUCGGUGUUGGAGUGGACGACAGCGACACCACCAAGGUAGGCCAUCGCCGUGGCCAUGGCGGCCUCGGAGACGGUGUCCAUGGGGAGGCGACAUAGGGAGUGGAGAGCGGCACACGGUGGGAGAAGCGGCUGGAGAGAUCUACGACAUCGGCAGGGAAGUCGAUGAAGCCUGGGACGAAGAUGACAUCGUCAUAGGUGUAGGAGAUGCCUUGGGAGAAGAGAGACGCCGCCGAGAAGCCGUCAUCGGUGAGGUCCAUCAUUUUUUGGUGUGGGUUUUAGGGUUUUGGCGGCAGCAGCGGCGGCGUGGGUGACUGGACUGGAUGAGCUUCACAACUUCCCAACUCUAGCAUCGCGCUUCCCUGCCUUUUUUGACGGAAAUAACUAAAUUUUAUUGAUUAAAAGCCACAGUAUGUGAAAUACACCCAGGGUCAUGGGGACUAACAAGCCAAAGAUGGCGCCCGUGACCUAAUGAAUGGGAAAACUUAGCUAAUAAUACUUCAAAAGUAAACUUGCAAUUAAACAUAGAAGCUCGGUGACUGAUUUCUCUAAUAAUGGAUCCAUGUCUGCUAUUAGAGCCCACGUUAAUAUCCGCAACUGCCUACUUUGAGUGUGAGGCUAUUACGCUAUUGCUAAGGAGUGGAUCGUCCGCUCUUCUCCACCUGAUUUCUAGAGCGAAGCUAGCUGCAUUCAGCUGGCCAGGCCCGUGCGCGAAUCGGCAGCCAGCCCAUGGGAUGGACAUACUGGCCUGUUUUUUUUAAUCUCACAGGCUGGCCUGUUGCUUCUAGCCCAGUUUGGUGUCCGUUUUUUAAAUAUAGGAGAUGGGUUGGGUUGUAGUUAGACUUGGCCACAUGCGGUUGUGAUGUUCUUUUUUCUUCCCUCUGAUUCAGCCAUAACAAAAAAGAAAAAGGAAAAAAAGCCAUAACAAAGUGAAAGGAUAAUGUAUUGUUAUGAAAUUGAUUAUUUGAAAAUGUGUAAUCGUUUAUUUUUAAAAAGUGAAAUAUGUUAUAUUUUCAAAUAACCAGUCUCACAAUCAUAUAUUACAACUUCACAUUUUUGAAAUAGAUUGUUUUCACAUUUUCAAAUAAUCGGUUUCACAAUCGUAUUACAAUUUCACUUAAUUAUCAUUCCACUCUUCUGGAAUAUGUUACUGUCUUGUUUCACAAAUAGCACAUCUAUUUCAAUUGUAAAAACACAUAUCUCAAACUUUUGAAAUGGACUAUUUCAAAUUUUCAGAAAACCUAUUUCAAAACCAUACAUUACAAUUUGGGACGGAGGGAGUAUGAAAUAUGCUAUUGGCCUGUUUCAUAAAAAUAACAUCAAUUUCAACCACACAUUUGUGAAAUGAGAUAUUUCAUAAUUUUGAAAUAAAAUGUUACACAUUUUCAAAUAAACAGUUUCACAAGUUGUCAUUUCACUUUCUAGUGAAAUAGGUUGGUUCAACGUAUUUUUAUUGAAAAUGGUUUAUUCCAUAUUUUCCAAGUGAAAUUUGUUUGUUUCACAUACGAAAUGCAAAACAUUGAAAUUUAAAUGUGUUUGAAAUGUAUCUAAGAUUGGUCUAGUUCUAAAGGUCUUUGCGCCAAGAGUUCAAAUAUAUAAAUUGUUUCAAAUAUGAACUUAUAGUUAAAACACAUGAAUGUUUUUAAUUAGAUAAGAUGAAAUAGAAUGCAUGGAUUUGUUUGGAGACAAGAUAGAAUAAGCAGAUGCACACAUGUCCUUGCGUGACAAAAAGUAGUACGUUAGACCCGCUAUUUCGAUAGGUAGUGGUAACGCUUAAUUUUUCAUUUUUAUAGUUUGGUGUCCGCUCUACCUAGGUUGAAAGACGGGAGAUGGGAUGGGCUUUAGGUAGAGUGGGUCACAUGUGGUUGUGUUGUUCUUUUUUUCUUCCCUUCGUUUCCUUAUUCGUUCUUCCCUUCGAUUCUGCCAUAAUAGUAUACAAAGAGGUAUUUUGUCAGUACAAUAAAGUGAUAUAGACAUAAAAAUUAUGUAAUCUUGAAACAAAGAAUAAUGUUUCAAAUACAAAAGAGAUAGCAUUUUGAAGAAUAGCAAGUUAUGACGAUGUCAUACAUCAAAAACAUUAGUUUUUGUGUGUUCAUAUGUUUGCAAAUUAAAAUGACCACACAUCUGCAAACACAUGAAUAUAAUGCCACUAAAUGACCACACAUAUGCAAACACAUAAAUAUAAUGCCACGUCUGCAAUGGAAGUAGCUAGUUGGUUUCUAAACCUGACCAUGCUAGAGAUUUUUGCUUCUUUUUCGAAAACAAAGCGGUUGUGCCGCCAUACUAGAAGUUCAUUGAACCUACUCAAGGGGGAUAAAGGGCUCUCCAAAAAUAAGGCACUCACUUGAUAAGUUGUUCUGAUUCCUCACAAUCCUAUGUUGAAACUACACACAUUUCUCAUGCAUAUUCCUUAAAUAAUUUCUCAUGCAUAUUCCUUAAAUUUGUUGAGACAAAACCCAUGAAUGUUAUCCGGUCAAUGUUUGUAAGCAUUGUUUUCGUCGUAUCAUUGAAACUCUGUGGUGUCUUCUUUUCUCAUAUAUAUACACUUGGCUAUCCACUACUUGAGCAAGUGUAGAACGAAAUAGUAAAGAAAUAAAGGAAGUUCUAGCGGAAUAUGUAUAUGGACGACUGGUUAUUGGAAUGUGUGUUGAAGAGAAGAUUAUUUAUUUAGGGAGCAAUGUAUAUGAAAAACAUAUGGUUGGUCAUAAUUUAAUGGUCAACAUAUAACAAGGUGAGUACAACUCUAGAAAGAACUUUAAAAACUUGCAUCAAGGGGUCCCGAGUGGCGAUUGUUUAUUAAUGUGUGGAUAUGAAUUUAUGAUCUUUUAUAUGUUUUAUCGGUGUCCCAAAUUCUGAAAUGAAGGCUAGUUCAGCCUUGUGAGCGAGACACGGUGAUGCAUAUGCUCUCGAUUUUUUUGUUAACCAUGUAAGGCAUCUUUGGUUCAAACAAGAACUUGAUAAAAUCAAAUGGAUGUGGACUUUUCCACAUUGUAGUAUUAUGUAUUUGUGUGGUUCGAAUGCACGGAGCAAACCAGAAAUGGAGGAACGCCGACCUAACAACUAUGUGGAGCUGCUUCUUUUUCGCUUGAUCUCAAUUUCAAAUGAAAAGACAUACACAGUUUAAAAUCCAUCAAGACCACUUUUUAGAAUUCCUAUCCACAAAGUACAAAAACAAGAUCUUUAGAGUUGUAAUAACAUACUAAUUACAUUUUAUCAUGUGGUUUGACUUUUAAUUUUACUAUGUGAUAUCAAUGGGUCUUAUAUUCAUGUUAACCAACAUCUUAGCUUGUAAAGUUCUUGUGUUUCCUAAUACUUUGUUUUCUACAUGUUGCACGUGUUCAUAUCAUAUUCUUCUGUUUUGCAUCUUCUCUGAUCUAUUAUGUAUAAUUUGGUAGCUAUGUAUGAUUUUCAAUUUAUAAGUUUUAUUUGGCCAAUAAACAAGUAGAUCUUCAGAGGGAGUGGUGCAUAGUAGUGGGUUCAAUCUGCGGUGUCCUUACUUUAUGCCAGGAGCGGUUGCAAGACACAUAGUAUUGUUGCCACUAAGGAUAAAAUUAUAGGAUAUGAAGAUAUUAAUUAUUCUUAUCGUGUCUACUUUAUGUCAUCCUGUUUCAAGAAUUACUCGGUUUGUUAUGAACUUGAUACCUUGCGAUGCAUGCUAGAUAGUGACCGAUGGGUGAAAUAACAGUAGUAGAUGUCAGUAAGUUUCACGGUCUACUUAUCACAGACUUAAUUCCUAUAUAUGAAUUAUGCCAUGAAGAAUCACAAUCUUAACUAUGCACUUUUCUAUCAAUUGUCCAAUAGUAAUUAGUUUAUCCACCGUAUUAUGCUUAUGAGAGAGAUGCCUCUAGUGAACGCGAUGGUCCCUGGGUCCACUUUUCCUAUUAAAUACGAAAUACCUUGUCGUUCUUAUUUAAUUUUUAUUUAUUUUAUUAUCUACCUAUCACUAUCAUUUAAUCAAUCGGCGGGGAAAAGCGAAUUGACAACCCUCUUGUGUUUGUUGGGUGAGAGCAUUUGCUUUGUGCAUGUGUAGGUACCGUUGAUAUUAUCUGUGUGGUGUCUCAUAUUGGUUCGAUUACCUCGAUUCUUAACUGAGGGGAAUAUUAUCUACUACUCCCUUCGUCCGGAAAUACUUGUCGGAGAAAUGAAUAAAAAUGGAUGUAUCUAGUACUAAAAUACGUCUACAUACAUCCAUGUCUCCGACAAGUAUUUUCGGACGAAGGGGGUACUAUAUUUCUUCAUCCUUUUAUGUUUGGAAAUAAAUCCCAACAUCUACAGCAAGUAGCACUACUCCUUUGGUGGUAGCCAUUUCAAACAUCGUCAUGAAAUAUUUUUGUGUGGUUGCACAAGUGAAAACAGUGUGCCAACGGGUCCUUUAAUCAUGAAGAUUGAAAUUAUUGCUUCUUGUUGAUCUACGUGUUCGUUAAUCAUUGGUUCACUCAAUGUGGCAACUUGAUAAUCAUGUAAUUGUAGCCCCGAUGUAUUGUCGUGAUGUACGAAAGGAUGGAAGGCAAGCGGUUCCCAUUGACUCAUUGUUGGAUGAAGCUCAAGGGGCAGCCCAUUUGAGUGAACAACAUGCGUCGAUGAAGAAGUUCAAGCUUAAGAAGAGAAAGCUUAAGAUUAAGGCCACUUUCAAAGUGUAUGGUUAAAUUUGAAAUCGAUGAAUUUAAAAAAAAAUAUUGAACAUGUAACGCUUUUAUUUAGGACUUAGAUGUAUGUUAUAAUUGCUAUCGAAAUGAUGAUAAAAAGCAAGGUUGCAUGGCAAACACUUUUUAUUUAGUUUUAUUAUCUUUUUUCCUUUAAAGGGAUAGGCAUUUGGUGCAUCAGAUUGGAUGAUCAUCCCAGUCCGCUGUCCGUUGACACGUCCAUAAGUUUAUGUUGACAUUUGUUGUACUUGCGUUAAUAUACGACGUUGGAGUUGCCCAUAACUAUUUGAAUGACCCACCAAUAACUUGUAGGACAUUAUUUAUUCAAGAGGAAAGAGAGUAGAUAAAGGCACAUAUCGCGCUAGACUUCCAAUUUUUUUUUGAAAAGAAGAUGUUUGAGAGAACGUUUAGAAUCCUCCAAAGUAUAAAGGAAAGGGUGGAUUCAUGUAGAACAUUAUAAAGCCAAUUCUAUAACCCAAAUGAAUCAUAGUAAAGUUUUCUAAAGGAUUUUAUUUCUACAUAAUUCCUACGAAGACUCUUUGUUCCUAAUAGGCCUUAGAGCAUCUCCAAUAAAAGAUGCAAAUUUGGAGAUGUAAAGCAAGAGAUGUAAAUUUACAUCUCCAAAAGAUGAUUUUUUUACAUCUCCAUAAAAGGUUCAAGCCUAAAAGGUGAUGUAAAACAAAGAUGUAAAAGGGCAACUCUAAUCCAUUGUACAGCUGCACAAUUUCACACAAAAACAUUAUGAAUUGAAAUUAAAAAAUUGAACAUAUUCAUAAUAUCAAAUUAUUACAUAAUUCAUCAAAUCCACAACAUCAAAUGCAACAUAAAUAUAACAAACUUCUUGCACAAUACAACAAACAAAUAAUGAAACUAGGGGGCUCUUUCACCAUGCUAUUUCCAAUACUCCUCCGUCAAAUCCUUCUGAAGUUGAUCAUGUGCAUCAGAGUCUCUAAUUACAUCGUAGACCUUCAUGAAGUGGUUGAUUCACUCCUCUCUUUGCAUCGGCAUAACACUUACACCCAUCAAGUGAUAGAAGAUGUAAUCCAAAACUUGUCCACGUUCAUUCUCAAUGAUCAUGUUAUGCAUAAUCACACAAGCAAUCAUGAUAUACCAAAGUAUUUUUGAUCAUAAAAUCUAGAUGGACCUCACACAAUAGCACCAAAGAAUUUUUUGAUCAUAAAAUCUAGAUGGACCUCACACAAUAGCAAACUGGGAUUGCAAAAUUCCAAAAGCCCUCUCAACAUCUUUCCUAGUCGUCACUUGUGCAUUGUGAAAGGUGAGUUCUUUGUUACCUUGGGGUUUUGCAAUUGGCUUGACAAAAGUACUGCACCUUGGAUAGAUGACAUCCGCAAGAUAGUACCCGUAGUUAUAUGUGUGACCAUUUGCUUCGAAGGUCACCGGUGGUGCUUCUCCAUUUGCUAACUUGGCAAAAAGAGGUGACCAAUCGAGCACGUUGAUGUCAUUGCAAGAUCCAGGCAUACCAAAAUAUGAAUGCUAAAACCAUGUUUCUUGAUCUACAACGGCCUAAAUAAUGAUAGUGGCAUCCUUCCCACGACCCUUGAAUUGUCCAUGCCAUGCUCUUGACAAUUUUUCCACUUCCAAUGCAUGCAAUCGAUGGACCCUAGCAUACCUAGAAACCCAUGAGCUUUGUUCAUCUCCAACAACCUCUGAGUGUCUUGAGCAUUGGGAGUUCUCAAGUAGUCUACACCAAACACUUCUACCAUAAUAUUUGCAAAAAAUAUUGACAUAGAAGAUAGAAGUGCUCUCUGCCAUCACCAAGUUUUCAUCAAUGUAAUCAUACGGAACACCGUAGGACAUCAUGCGCAAUGCAUCAAUGACCUUCUAUUUAGUGCCAUGUUCAAGCAACCCUGCACAAUUCCUCCUUUGCUCAAAAGAUCAAUCAUGCUGCUGAACGAGAUUGCAAAUGUGGAUGAACAACUCUUUGGACAUCCCGAACUUGCGUCGGAAGUACCUCUCCAAAGAAACGGGUGGUGAACUGAAAUAGUUGCCCAUCAACCUAUUGUGUGCAUCGACUCGUUCUCUCCAAAUGAACACACAAUCGUACACCAAACCACAAUGCUUUAGCUUCUUCCCCUUAUGCAUCGCCACUAGCAUAGCAAUGUCAUCUUAUUCGUUCAAAUAAAAUUCCUCAUCAGAUGAGGAAUCAUCCAUGAAAAAGGAGUCAUAUGAGCUCACCUACAAUGAGGAAAAUCACCGACAAACCAACUAUCCAAACCUAACAAAAAAAGCAAGUUUCAUCGUUUUUAACUUUGGAAAUUUCGUCGAACACCUUGCUUGCGAGGUGGACGAAAUCGGUCGGCUGUGGGUUGGGCAACUGUUCGGCUAUGAGGAGUGCGGGCGGCGGCCAUUGCCAGAUAGAGGGGAUGGUUGCACGUCGACACAGAAGAAGGCGGGAGUUCGGCGUGGCUUCGCAUAUCCGGAUGAACGGCCGAGCCUGGCGACCGUCAGGCGGGCGGCGUGGCGCUCCUCCCCAACUCCAACGGGGGUCUUGGGCUAUGAAGUAGCCUAGCCCAUCGUAGACCUCGCCGGGGAAGCCAUUUAGGCCAGCCGCAACCGCUGGAGAUGCUUCGAUUCGGCGACGGCCAGAAGUGAAUCAACGGUUGUGGGCGGCGAGACGACGAGGCAGGCGAUAGGGGACGGGGCGGUGCAGUCAUGACGAUCCUUGCAGGCGGCGGGCGGGAGGCGGCUGCUGAGUUUGGUGGGUUGGUGGGUGGUUUCGUUUUUACAUCUCCUAGAGGUGAAGAUGCAAAUGUACACCGCAAGGUGUUGUAGAGCGCGUUCGGAUUCUCUCCACUCCUCAACUCCGCUCCCGGAGCCGACGGAGCAGCGUCGAACGCUCGAACUCUGCGGAGUUGAAAACGUGAAGUGAAACAUGAUGCAGUGGGUUUGUGGGGAGCGGCUAUUUCAGCAAUGUCAAAUCUUAAAAAUCAUGGAGUUGAUAAUGUUUACAAUGGAACUGCCACCACAAAGUGAAAACGGUUCGAGUUGUCACGCCCGACUCGCUCAUUUAUGUCUUUGUUCCAAAUCUCCAGUCAGGUCCACUAGACGCUGAAUAAGUCGUCGUGGAUCAGGAGUAGAGCUGCCUGCCGAACGGGUUUUUCUAUAGCUAGAUUUUAGGGCAUCUCCAAUAGUUUGUAUGUAGUCUUGUUGGUAAAUUAUCCAUGUCAUUAACCAACAAAGGAUCAUACAACUAUUUCAAUGGUUACAUCUAAAUUAUUCAAUAGGAGAAGAGAAAAUAAAUGCAAUUGCUCUCUAUGUAACAUUGGAGCCUGUGGAAGAGCUCAAGGGCGGAGCCAGGAUCUGGGCAUUGGGGGGCAAGAAUAUAAUAAUAUUAUAUAUAUUUUUCGAAAAGGAGGAUGACCCCCGGCCUCUGCAUCUGGGAGAUGCAUGCGGCCAUUUUAUUGAUUAUUCUCGAGGACCUUACAAAGCAGUACACCAAUAUGUCUGAAUCCGCCAUCUUGGCAACAUCUGUCGCUACUCCUAUUCAUAUGAUGAAGGGGUGUAAGCUGGACCAAAUACCCAGACCUCUCACCUAAGCCUAACAUCUAAAGCCGGAGACCCUGACCGAGCCACAUACCGGGUCCGGGGCACAAACCGAUCUGACGCACUCACAUGUGUCGUCGCCGCCAUCUUCCACUGGUCCAUCUUCAGAUCAGAUUGAGGUACCAGCCUUGACAGGUGCCUCCGCCAUCGACGCCAUCAUGACGCCAAACGACGACCUCCACCUACGCGAGUCCAUCUCCAAGCAACGGACGGAGAUCCAUGCUAGGAAAGGGCCGCACCACCACUGUCGCCCACCACCCACAAGCGCCACCCAGCCCCAAGGUUCCCAAAGCGGCGCCUUCAAGAAGGGAACGGCGCCGUGAGCGCCGCUGCCGCCCAACAAAGUUAAGGCUUUCGCCCGGGAGACCUAGGGGAAGGGGAAGUGAGGGGAUCAGUCCAUACCGACGCCUCCAAGGAGGGGAACGACGCCCUCAGGCGUCGCCAUCGACGUGGCCGGCCAUGGCCGACCAGGGAUUUCGCCCGAACUAGAUCCCCACCACCACCAGCACCUCCUGUACAAAACCGGCAAUCCAAGAAAGCGCGGCCCGACCAGGCUGCCCCGCACGACGAACAGGGGAGGAGGGGAGAGGCGCCAGAUCGCGCGCACCGGCCACCGCAAAAGCCGCCGCAGGACGCCAACGACCACCGGAUCUCGCCGCCCGCGCGGCCAAGACACCGGAUCCACCUCCCGCACGACUGCUAGCCUGCCGUGCCUCGCCAGUGGAGCCGCCGCUCCAGAUCCGGGUCUCCGCAUGCAGAUGCAGGGCAGCCUAGGCCCCGCCGCCACCAUCCUUGGCGCCCCGGGCUUGCCCGGCGGCUGCCUGAGGCGACGACGAGGAAGGAAGGGGGAGGGGGAGGUGGCUAGGGUUGGGAGGGAGGGAGACGUUAUAAUAAUAUAGAUCAUCAUAUAUGAUAUGUCAAUAUAUAUUUAAGUCUUACAUAUAGCAGCGGUACGACGCUACAUUUUUAAAUUUACAUGUAGAAUUGUGAAUUGCUUGCACACCUAUCAAACAAGUUAAUCAUGUCGUAUGUAUUAUCUUCAUUCUUGGAAGAUGAUAAAAUGAUAUAUCUUUCAUUUUCAGUAAACCAUCUUCAUUAAGCAACUUACAAUAAGUUGAAAGAUGAAAUAAGUAUGGGGAAGUGAUCCUGAUGAUAAAUAAAUAAAAUAUAUUUUCCAUGGUUGAAUUAAUUUGUUUUCCUCUAGCCAACAAUUUGGAUGCAGUCUAAUAAAUCCCUAACUACUAAUUUAGUAGUCUAGAUUGAUACCUUGAGAUGGAAGAUUGGGGACAUUAAGCUGAGAUGUUCCCAUGUCAACCAAACUGAGAUUGGGGACAUUAUAUCCCCGGUUGCAUUUGCAUCUUUAAACAUAGAGUUAGAGCUUGUAGCAAUUGGCUUGGAGAAAACACUCAUCGGUGGUUUAUUUCUAACCUGUAACUAAUCUAACAAGUGACAAAGUAUCCUAACUACUAGUAACAAUUGAUUAAUUGGUUGCACGGUUUGUGUAAUCAAACUGACAAUACCUUCGCCUCUGGUAGUCUGGUUCACGACCGACCUACUUGAGCGUAGUCUGUAGAGUGUAGACUCAUAGAAUCGUACUCCAUUGAUGCACAGCAAGCGGCAGGUUCGCUAGCUACCAAGCAGCGACGGCGCGACUCCUCGCGGCUGACAACAUUGUUCAUGUAGUCAAUGAAGCCCUAGCGGGUUGUAGUGCAGCGUUGGCACGAAGUCGCCUCGACGGCUCGGCCUAAUGCUGAGUUUUGAUUGAUUACGGACGUCUAGGUCUAGCUGGUGGUGAAUGCGUACCUGCGACCUAGACCCUUUGUUGCCUUGCUGUAAAUUCGUUUUGGGUUUAACACUAGAUUAGCCCAUAUCCUUGCUGAUGACCGGGGUAGUUAAGCCUUUUUUAAUUAUGUAUGCCUUUGGGCCGGGGUAACUAAGCCUAAUACUCUUACUAGUACCCGCUAAAUCCUGUUAGGGUGCCUUCGCCUCUGGAAGAGCUGUUGAUUAAUCUACAUGCAACUUUUCCCUCUCUCUCUCAUAUAUUUAUUGCCACAUCAUUAUAUAUCCUAGGUGGUAAAGUCUACCAAUAACUAUCUUACAGCCAUUGAAGAUGCCCUUACAUGGAGUAACAUUUUAGAUUGAGGAGCGGGAGUUGAGGAUUCAGAGGAGCUGGGUCAUUUCCGAACACGCUCGGACUAGUCUACAUCUCCGGAAGGUGAAGAUGUUUUUUGUUUUGCAUCUACAUCAUGUGUUGGAGAAGUGUUUCUAGACCUCCAAGAUGUAAAAAAUAGUUAAUUUUGCAUAUAUAUCUUCUAUCGAAGAUGUUCACUGUCUAACCGAAGUAAAGUCCUUUGUGCAUGCUCUUACAAUGUAGUGGAAGCCUGCCGUCGCCGACUGCAUCAGGGCUGGCGCUGGCGAGCUUAUAAUAUGUCCAUCCUUGGGGCAUAGACAAAAACUAAAAGCAUCUUCAGUGUUCGGCGCCCCCAAUGAAUGAAAUAGCAUCGCCUGGGGCGCGCCGGCGAAAAAAUCGGCGUGGGGGUGGGGUGGGGUGGGGGGCUCGGAUUCCCAUCCGGCGCCCCAGACGCCGUUUUUUAAAAUCAAACUCGACCAAAAUUCGACCAAACACGACACAAAUUUAGAAAAAAUUCACGCGUUUUCAUUGAUAUUUGUACAAACUUAACUAAAAACAUAAUUUAAAAUAAGAAUUAAAAAAAUUUACUACUACGUUGCCGCCGUCACCACCUUCCACAUGCCGAGAAGCCUGUAGAAGUUGGUGUAGUCGCCGCUGUUGUCGUCCUGCACUCUGCCGCCGUCCUUGCUGCACCCCUGCCCUGGGUCGCCGUGGCAGACGGGGUUGGACGGUCCGGGCGCCUCCUCGUCGUUGUCAUCGAGGAUGACGCCGCCGUCCUCCUCACGGCCGCCGCGUUGAGCAGUGAUCUCCUCGAGGGCGCGGCGUUGGCGCUCCAUCUUCUCCCGGACGUAGUCGUCCCACACCCAUUUGAGCACGAUCUCCUCGUCGGCGACCAUGGCAUCGACGGUGAAAGAGGGAGAGGGGCGUCGUCAGCAAGAAAGGGAGAUGGGUUGUGGCGAGAGGUUUGCGGCCAUCGGCGAGGGAGGGAUGACUUAUAUAACCGUGUGUGGGCGGCGAACGGGCGGCAGCCAUGCGUACGCGUGGUGGGAGGGGGCGUGAUGCAUGUUGGCGCGCCUUCACUGCGCCAUCCGUGAGGAAAUCAAUGAAAAGCUGACCGGCGGCAGCCUUCAAAUUGAUUCCCCGUGAAAAAACAAGGCGAUGAGGACGACGACCGCGCCUAGUAGCUGACUCGGCGGGUCCAUGAAGAGUUCGCGUCAGAAAUGUUUCCCCCGGCGCCCCCGGGUGCCCCCCAGCACACCAGGUUUGGGCUGGGUCUGCCGAUGGCAAAAUCGAUCGUAACCGGUGAAAAACAGGUUUUUGAAUGCGUGAUUAGGUCUUUUUUUAGUGCCGGUGAUAAAAAGGUCUAGGGACGCGGCUGGAGAUGCUUUAAUGCCGGAUGACACGCAGCUGCACAGCUGAAGCAUUCAUGCUAGGGUGCCAUUACAAUUGACGUACGCGCUUACCUAGGAAGAUCAGAUCACUCGAACGUGAGUGAACCAUAUGAUCAUCCAUGACCCAAGAGAGAUAACCGGUAGGUCCUGCGUCGAUUUUUGCCAGGUAUGCCUCACUCUUGAUCCUCGCGAUCGAGCGCCAUCACUAUCGUUUUGAUGGAACAAGUAAACUAGAGUAUAAUCUAAUCUUAGCCUAACUAAUAGUACAACAGGCUCCAUGCAGUAGCCAAGCUUAAUGCGCGAAGCAAUACUGGAGUACUAUCCAAUUCAAGAACGUAUUCAAUUGCAAACCCCAUGAAGCAGGACUUGAAAUGACACCUUGUCGCGCUCCCAGAAAGUCGAAGAAAAUGGAGGCAAAAGUGCGUCGCGUGCUCUUUUUGCUUUGACCUUUACCGUUGUCAACCACUACCCAUUUCGUAGAAAGGGCGCUUGAGCUUAUUAUUUCAAAUCAAGAACGCAUGGUCAAGACGAAAAGGGUUUGCUAGUGCACUGAGCGUUUCAUGUCAUGCCGGCUUUUCCAUUUCUUUUAGCAGCCCAGCACUGCACCGCCUAGCCUAGUGAUCAUGUGUUUAGCCUAUAAAUGCUCGUCUCCUGCUAAUUAACCUGCAGAUGCAUGCAUUACGGCAGUAUAGGUGUAGCCACCAUUUGAGGAUUAGCUAAUCAAGUACGUACGGGCGAGGUGCUUAAUGAUGAGGCUACUCCCGUGCUUCUGCGUCUGUUUCGUCGUCCUCGUCCUCGUCGGCGGCUCCUCCCCGGCCGAUCCCCGCGCCGAGCGCUGCCCGCUGCACCACCGCAGGCAGCUCGAGGACGGCGGCGGCGGCAGCAUGCAGGCGACGGCGGUGGCGAGCAAAGCGACCGCAGUACGGCCGCCGCAAGAGAUCGCCGAUCUGGUCGUCUAUGGGACCUCCAAGAGGCUCAGUCCUGGAGGAUCCAACCCUCAGCACCACCACUGAUCGAACCAUGGGUGUUCAUCGGUGGUCCUAAGGUGUAUCGCGAUGAGGUGUCCAUCGGCUUCAUGUAUACUUCAGUUUGCGUCAAGAGAAGAAAUUACCAUUCGCGAAAUAAAAAGGAAAGAGAAAUGGGUUUAAUACUGUAGUCCGUCAAUGCUCUAACGAUGUACGACUAUGUUUCAACUACGUCCCCCCUCAGCAACAUGUGCCAACUAUGUUUCUCGGGCUAAGCCGUUUGGAAAUUGGAACGUUGGAAAUAUGUCAUGUAAAAAAAAAACGUUGGAAAUAUUUAACCUCCUGGAACUGAAUAAUACCUUGAGUAAUUCGUACUUAUUUCGUUUCGCGAAAAUAUAUCCCAUUUCAAGCAAAGGCCUUUUUUUUGUUGGUAAGUUAUUGUUCUAGGAAAGCAACCUGAAUGUGUGUGAAGAACAAGGCGCUGAUAUGUGGUUGUCUUUCCUUCUUCUCAAGACUCACACACAUCAUUUUAAUUGAGUCUAUUCUUAAGUUGCCUCUUUUACAUGUUGCUCAACUAUAUGUUUGGUGCAAGUGCUAUGUUUAUUGUCUCAUCUAUUUUCUUACACUUGUUGAGUGUUUCUAUUAAUUUUGAAGAGUAAUGAUCAUAUUUUGUGCACUUGUAUCCAAAUACAAAAAUUCUUAAUUGUACGCAAAUCAUGGGAAGCUUCUCAAGUUUUGAUAAAACACCCCUUUGCCCAUAUCAUAAUAUCUUUAUUCAUGUGGUUCGAAGGACCACGUGAUUGUUUGUUCCUAUUGAUAUUUUUUUUUGAUUGCUUGCUUCUCUCUUUUGUAUGUCUUUGUGUCAUGCGAGCCUUUUUGCAAUCUUUGGGUUCUCGAUAUAUUUCGUUUUCCUCCAACUACUUAUCUUUGUAUAUGUUUAUUCUUUGCACUCAUUUGUUGAGAAGUACACAUUUUUUGGAGGACAACCUAUUAUAUUGACUUUCUAAACAUUUCAUCCAUUUUGGCAAUCGAUGCCAAUGUGGGGGGGGGGGGAUUUAGAGAGUUUAGUUUGGAGAUAUUAAGAGAGUUUUGCUUUUGUUGCUUAAGCAUUUGCAUCUAAUACACAUGCAUUAUUGCUUUGCAUGUGUGUGAUUGAUUAUGCUUAUUUUCUUAUAUAAAUUCUCUUGAAGAUGUUAAGAGAGUUUUGCUUUUGUUGCUUAAGCAUCUGCAUCUCAUAACCAUGCAUUAUUGCUUUGCAUGUGUGUGCUUGGUUAUGCUUAUUUCCUUAUAUAAAGUCUCUUGAACGUGAUUCUCAUCCAUUACCAAAAUAGGGGAGAUUGUUAGAGUAUAUUUCUCCAAUAUGUGGUUUUGAUAAUUGAUGACGAUCCCUAUGGACUAAUGGUUGCCUUAAGUUAUAUUCUAAGGUUUUGUACAUAGGCAUUUCUUGAAGUCCAUUUGUUGGUUUCAAGGAGUUUAUAUAAUGACCAAGGUGGAAUUCAAUGUUUUAUACAAAGAUUGGUCAUAAAGACAAAAAGUUGAUCAAGACUAAGUCAAAGAGUGAAUCAAGGUGAUCAACAUACAAAGCAUACAAGAUGUAUCGAGAGUGAUAAAGUGAUUCCAUGGUAUGGUAAGCAUUUUCCAUUAUGGUAAGUAAACUGUUGGGUAGCUCUUGUCGCCGUGAAUCCAACAAGCUUGAGUUUUCUCAAUUUGGAGCUCGUAUGCGAAAGUUAUAGCAGUUUUAGUGCCAAGGUAGGUUUUCUCUCUCAGCGGAAGUACCAGCCGAAGAGCGGUAGUACCGCCCUCCAGGCUCGGCCUCACUUCCGCUUGUAUCUUUCUUCUGGCAUCUUCGAUGCUUUUUCAAGUUUGAGCGGAAGUACCGCUUGGGGUGGAGCUGUAGUACCGCUCCAGCGGUACUGCCGCCCUCCCCUUCCGUCCUCACUUCCGCUUAGUUUUUUCUUCUUGCUUCUUCGGUCGCUUUGUCCAUGUUGAGCGGAAGUACCGCUCUGUGCAGGGCGGUAGUACCGCUUCAAGCGGAAGUACCGCUCCCCUGCGCGGUACUACCGCUUGUGCACAGGUGAGUGCAUAACAUCUGGAUUUUUGAGGGACCUAUUUAAGGGGUAUUAUUCCCCAAUGGUCCCUAACUCUUGAGCUCGUGUUCUUCCCCAUUGUUGACCUUCUUCGAAUUUGCUAACUCUCGGUCCCUCCAAUGAUUCGUGUUAAUUCUUGAAGGAAAAGAGAGAGGAGAUUUAGAUCCACAUUUCCACCAAUCACUUUCUCCUCUUUGUGAGGGGAACCCCUUGGAUCGAGAUCUUGGAGUUCUUCGUGUUCUUCUUCGUUCUCCCUCUCAUUUUCCUCCAUAGCAUUAGUUGUUGUGGUGGGAUUUGGGACAGAAGGACUUGGGCACUUCGUGUUCCCUUGCCAUUGCAUUUGGUGCAACGAUUUGAGUUCUCUACGGUGAUACGUGGAAGUUUGAGAAUCUUAUAACUCUUGGGUGCUUGGUGUUGGGGAACGUCGCAUGGGAAACAAAAAUUUUCCUACGCGCACGAAGACCUAUCAUGGUGAUGUCCAUCUACGAGAGGGGAUGAGUGAUCUACGUACCCUCGUAGACCGUACAGCAGAAGCGUUAGAGAACGCGGUUGAUGUAGUGGAACGUCCUCACGUCCCUCGAUCCGCCCCGCGAACAAUCCCGCGAUCAGUCCCACGAUCUAGUACCGAACGGACGGCACCUCCGCGUUCAGCACACGUACAGCUCGACGAUGAUCUCGGCCUUCUUGAUCCAGCAAGAGAGACGGAGAGGUAGAAGAGUUCUCCGGCAGCGUGACGGCGCUCCGGAGGUUGGUGAUGACCUUGUCUCAGCAGGGCUUCGCCCGAGCUCCGCAGAAACGCGAUCUAGAGGAAAAACCGUGGAGGUAUGUGGUCGGGCUGCUGUGGAAAAGUCGUCUCAAAUCAGCCCUAAAACCUCCGUAUAUAUAGGUGGGAGGGAGGGGGCCUUGCCUUGGGGCUCAAGGAUCCCCAAGGGGGUCGGCCGAGUCCAAGGGGGAGGACUCUCCCCCCCCCAAACCGAGUUGGACUAGGUUUGGUGGGAGGGAGUCCCCCUUCCUCCUUUUUUUUUCUUUCUCUCUUGAUUUUCUUCUCCUUGGCGCAUAGGGCACUUGUGGGCUGUCCCACCAGCCCACUAAGGGCUGGUGUGUCUCCCCCAAGGCCUAUGGGCUUCCCCGGGGUGGGUUGCCCCCCCCCCCCCCGGUGAACUCCCGGAACCCAUUCGUCAUUCCCGGUACAUUCCCGGUAACUCCGAAAACCUUCCGGUAAUCAAAUGAGGUCAUCCUAUAUAUCAAUCUUCGUUUCCGGACCAUUCCGGAAACCCUCGUGACGUCCGUGAUCUCAUCCGGGACUCCCAACAACAUUCGGUAACCAACCAUAUAACUCAAAUACGCAUAAAACAACGUCGAACCUUAAGUGUGCAGACCCUGCGGGUUCGAGAACUAUGUAGACAUGACCCGAGAGACUCCUCGGUCAAUAUUCAAUAGCGGGACCUGGAUGCCCAUAUUGGAUCCUACAUAUUCUACGAAGAUCUUAUCGUUUGAACCUCAGUGCCAAGGAUUCGUAUAAUCCCGUAUGUCAUUCCUUUUGUCCUUCGGUAUGUUACUUGCCCGAGAUUCGAUCGUCAGUAUCCGCAUACCUAUUUCAAUCUCGUUUACCGGCAAGUCUCUUUACUCGUUCCGUAAUACAAGAUCCCGCAACUUACACUAAGUUACAUUGCUUGCAAGGCUUGUGUGUGAUGUUGUAUUACCGAGUGGGCCCCGAGAUACCUCUCCGUCACACGGAGUGACAAAUCCCAGUCUUGAUCCAUACUAACUCAACUAACACCUUCGGAGAUACCUGUAGAGCAUCUUUAUAGUCACCCAGUUACGUUGCGACGUUUGAUACACACAAAGCAUUCCUCCGGUGUCAGUGAGUUAUAUGAUCUCAUGGUCAUAGGAAUAAAUACUUGACACGCAGAAAACAGUAGCAACAAAAUGACACGAUCAACAUGCUACGUCUAUUAGUUUGGGUCUAGUCCAUCACGUGAUUCUCCUAAUGACGUGAUCCAGUUAUCAAGCAACAACACCUUGUUCAUAAUCAGAAGACACUGACUAUCUUUGAUCAACUGGCUAGCCAACUAGAGGCUUGCUAGGGAUGGUGUUUUAUCUAUGUAUCCACACAUGUAAAUGAGUCUUCAUUCAAUACAAUUAUAGCAUGGAUAAUAAACGAUUAUCUUGAUACAGGAAUUAUAGUAAUAACUAUAUUUAUUAUUGCCUCUAGGGCAUAAUUCCAACACAAACGUCGCAACAUAACUGGGUGACUAUAAAGAUGUUCUACAGGUAUCUUCGAAGGUGUUCGUUGAGUUAGUAUGGAUCGAGACUGGGAUUUGUCACUCCGUGUGGCGGAGAGGUAUCUCGGGGCCCACUCGGUAAUACAACAUCACACAAGCCUUGCAAGCAAUGUGACUUAGUGUAAGUUGCGGGAUCUUGUAUUACGGAACGAGUAAAGAGACUUGCCGGUAAACGAGAUUGAAAUUGGUAUGCGGAUACUGACGAUCGAAUCUCGGGCAAGUAACAUACCGAAGGACAAAGGGAAUGACAUACGGGAUUUUAUGAAUCCUUGGCACUGAGGUUCAAACGAUAAGAUCUUCGUAGAAUAUGUAGGAUCCAAUAUGGGCAUCCAGGUCCCGCUAUUGGAUAUUGACCGAGGAGUCACUCGGGUCAUGUCUACAUAGUUCUCGAACCCGCAGGGUCUGCACACUUAAGGUUCGACAUUGUUUUAUGCGUAUUUGAGUUAUAUGGUUGGUUACCGAAUGUUGUUCGGAGUCCCGGAUGAGAUCACAGACGUCACGAGGGUUUCCGGAAUGGUCCGGAAAUGAAGAUUUAUAUAUAGGAUGACUUCAUUUGGUUACCGGAAGGUUUUCGGGCAUUACCGGUAAUGUACCGGGAAUGACGAAUGGGUUCCGGAUCUUCACCGGGAGGGGGGACCACCCACCCGGGAGGGCCCAAGGACCUUGGGGGUGGCGCACCAAGUAGGUGGGGUCAGCCCAAGGUUGUCUUGCGCAAGAGAAGAAAGAAAAACCAAAAGAAGAGAAAAAAAAGGAAAGGUGGGAAAGAAGAGAAGGACUCCACCUUCCAAUCCUAGUUGGACUAGGAUUGGAGGAGGACUCCUCCUCCCCUUGGUGGCGCAGCCCUUGGGGCUCCUUGAGCCUCAAGGCAAGCCUCCCCUCCCCUCCUCCUAUAUAUAUGGAGCUAUUAGGGUUGAUUUGAGAAAAAUUUUGCCACGGCAGCCCGACCACAUACCUCCACGGUUUUACCUCGCGUCGCUCGGGCGGAGCCCUGCUGAGGUUAGAUCACCACCAACCUCCGGAGUGCCGUCACGCUGCCGGAGGACUCAUCUACCUCUCCGUCUCUCUUGCUGGAUCAAGAAGGCCGAGAUCAUCGUCGAGUUGUACGUGUGCUGAACGCGGAGGUGCCGUCCGUUCGGCACUAGAUCGGAGCGGAUCGUGGGACGGAUCGCGGGACGGUUCGUGGGACGGUUCGUGGGGCGGAUCGAGGGACGUGAGGACGUUCCACUACAUCAACCACGUUUCUUAACGCUUCUGUUGUGCGAUCUACAAGGGUACGUAGAUCGGAAAUUCCCUCUCGUAGAUGGACAUCACCAUGAUAGGUCUUCGUGCGCGUAGGAAAUUUUUUGUUUCCCAUGCGACGUUCCCCAAUAGGAGGAGCCCAGCCGGCUAAGGCCUUCCCAGGUCUAGGCCGGCCCACCUAACCCCGCUACCCUAGCCAGCAGGAGCCUCGCUCGGCUCGAUCCCUUUCCUCCCGAGCGUCGUCGUCCUCUCCUCGUCUCCCUUGCGACCUCGCCCCUCCCCGUUCGAUCCCCUCUGCCCCGCGUGCAAGUCCCUGCCUCGCCCUCUCCUGUGCGCCACCAGGCCCCGCAGUAGCUGGCCGCCAUGCCCGUCUGCACCGACUCCCGUGCGCCGCCCGCCGUGCUCUCCUCGGCCUCGGCCCUCGUGAGCUCGCGCGGCCGCCGCCAUGGCCGCCCACCGCCUGCGCAAGGAGGGGCCCCCUGGCGGAUGUCACCGGAGGUCCCCCACGCCGCCGGCCUCAGCUGCCCCUCUACCUCGCCCGCCUGCGCCCUCCGGCAGCGCCGCGCCGCCCUUGUUCCCUGCCGGUGCCCUGCUGCUCUUGACGAGGUGUUGCUGUUGCCUGAUCUGCCGUCGCCGCUGCUUUUUCCGUUCGCUGCCUGUUGCUGUUGUUGUUGUGCGAAGCUGCUGCUUGCUGUGCCGUGCUAGUUGCUGGAGCCUGCUGUGCUGUACCGUUUUGUUGCUGCCGCUUGCCGCUUGGUGCUGUUGCUGCUGUCGCCGCUUGCUGCUGUCGCCGUUGCCUAUAGCUGCUGCCGCUUUGCUGUCGUGUAGCUGUUGCUUGCUUCCUGUUUUUGCUAUUGUUGUUGUGCCGAGCUGCCGCGUAGCCUGUCGCUGUGCUUUGCCCUGUUGCUAUUGCCAUGCUAGCUAUCUGCUAGCUUGUUGCUGCUGAUUGCCUCCUCUUGCCGAUGCUGUUUGCGUGCACGUCGAGCUUGCUGCUAGAUUGCCUUGAUGUUUGCCUGCAUGCCGAGUUGCUGCCGCCGUAGGUGUUGCCGAGCUGCAGGUUGCUGUUGCUGUACAUGUUGUUGUUGCUCCGGCCAGUUGUUGUUGUUAAAUUGCGGCAAGUUGUUGUAGUGUCGCCUGCCGUCGCCGAAGGCUGUGUACACCAUUCCUGCCUACCGUGGUUCAUCGACAAGAUCGCCGUGUACCACGACGCCCUCGACGACCCCCGGAAACGAGUUCGUCUUCCUCGACGUCGCCGAAGACUCGUGUUCGACUACUAAGGUGAAGACCGUAACCGUCGCCGAAGACCGUGUACCACUACUUCAACUACCGGCGCGGGAACGACUACUUCCACGAUGACAACUACUUCCACGACGACCGUUGGUCUCCUUCUCCGAAUCGAACCGCUCCGAUGUGCACGCUCCGAAGGUAUAACGUUGAGACGUUGUCGUGUACCAUGUACAAGUGAUGUAUGAAUAUAUGUAUGUAUGCACCGUAUGUUGCCCGUUGCCCAUUGUCUUCUUUCGUCGUGCCUCGACACAUGGGAACCCGAGAUACGGGAUCACCCCAUCUUUAUUUACCGUUUCCGCACACGCUUGUAUACGUUGGCACAAUAUCUCGUUGAGUAUCGGGAUAGGAACGUUGACGUGGGAUCGUUUCCGUCUUGCCGCCAUGGUUCCCUCUCGCUCGCCGUGGCGACACCUGUUUCUUUCCCUUCUUGCCCGUGUUGAAACUCGCAUGCAUGACGAAUUCAUGGCAUAUAAUCUUGUGUUGCAUGUCGCUUGUGCCGUAGCUCCGUUCUUUGUUCCGCGUGUUAACCGUCUAGGAUGCCAUGUAGAAUCAUCGCUUCACCCCUUGCCAUGUUAAACAACAAUUUAAUCUUGCCGGUAAAUUAACAGGAGUGAACUAAUAUUUAAUCGUGGAGUUUCGUCGAUUUGCAACCCGUUGCAUAUCGAGCUUCACUUAAUGUUUAGAGUUUGCGUGAGAUGAAUUGCCAUGCCAUCCCUUGCAUCAUUGAACUGAUCAUGCAUCAUAGUAGGUUAUGCAUCAUGUUGUGCAUCGUGUGGUGAAUAUCUGUGUUGAUGUUUGUUUCCGGUUUGCUCCGUCUCGAUAGAGUUCUGCAAGCGUGUCGGAAUGUGAGGACCCGUUCGACUACGUUGGUUCGCCGACUUCACGGAGUCGUUCUUCUUCCAAGCAGGAUCUCAGGCAAGAUGACCAUUUCCCCAGAUACCAUUACUAUCAUUGCCAUGCUAGUUUACCGCUUCUACCAUUUAUGUCUCGUUGCCUACCACAUGUUAAAUAUCAGCCUCUCAAACCAUGCCAUGAUAACCUUCAACCUGUUCGACCUAGCAAACCACUGAUUGGUUAUGUUACCGCUUGCUUAACCAUGUUGUUAGCGUUGCUAGUUGCAGGUGUAGUUGCUUCCAUGUGAAAACAUGGGUUCUUUGUUAUAUCACCAUAUUAAAUGCUAUUUAAUUUAAUGCACCUAUAUACUUGGUAAAAGGUGGAAGGCUCGGCCUUUCUAGCCUGGUGUUUUGUUCCACCUUUGCCCCCUUAGUUUCGGCUACCGGUGUUAUGUUCCAUAAAUGAGCGCUCCUAACACGAUCGAGGUUGUUAUGGGGACCCCCUUGAUAAUUCGUUUUAGAUUAAAGCUGGUCUGGCAAGGCCCAACAUUGGUUCUACAUUUGCCCAACAUAAUAACUUUGUUAAUACUGAAAUGCAUAGGGCUUUAUGAACCCGAGGAGUAAUUUUACAUAAACAGGGGGGCCAGUGCUGAUGGUGUUGGUCCCAAAAGGACAGACUGCGGGGCCACCAUGGGGCAACUCGAGGUUUGGUACCUGUAGGUUUUUCCAUCCGUCGGGUCCUGAGAACGAGAUACGCGGCUCCUAUCGGGAUCGUCGACACGCCGGGCGGACUUGCUGGAUUAGUUUUACCUUUGACGAGAUAUCUUGUGCAUCGGGAUUCCGGUGAUGCUUUGGGUAAUCUCAGAGUUGAGGUUUUCCACUAGGGAAUCCGACGAGAUCGCGAGCUUCGUGAUUAAGGAUUUCUAUGCGGCUUGUGGUAAUUUGUGAUGGACUAGUUGGAGCACCCCUGCAGGGUUAAAUCUUUCGGAAAGCCGUGCCCGUGGUUAUGUUGCAACGUGGAAGCUUUGUUUAACACUGGUUCUAGAUAACUUGAAGUAAUUUAAUUAAAAUAUGCCAACUGUGUGCGUAACCGUGAUUGUCUCUUUCGUGAGUUCUUACUCCGAUCGAGGACACGGUGGGGUUAUGUAUGGCGUAGGUAGGUGUUCAGGAUCAUUCAUUUGAUCAUCAGUAGUCACGUCCGUUAUGCGUAGACCUUCCCCCUCUUAUUUCUUGUACUCGUAAGUUUAGCCACCAAAUUAUAUGCUUAGCCGCUGCUGCAACCUCACCACUUAACCAUACCUCACCCAUUAAGCUUUGCUAGUCUUGAUACCUUUGGGAAUGAGAUUGCUGAGUCCCCUGUGGCUCACAGAUUACUACAACACCAGUUGCAGGUACAGGUAAAGGUUACUUGACGCGAGCGCGUUGAUUGUUCAUUUGGAGUUGCUUCUUCUUCUUCUUCUUCAUCAUCGAUCUAGGAUGGGUUCCAGGGCGGCAGCCUGGGAUAGCAAGGAUGGACGUCGUUCUUCUUUUGUCGUUUGUUUUCGUCCGUUGUCGGACCCUGCUCUUACUCUUGAUGAUUAUGUAAUGUACUGCUGCGACUCUGAUGUAGCUUGUGGCGAGUGUAAGCCAACUCUAUAUUUAUAUCUCUUCUUUUCAGUACAUGUACUUGUAACAAUAUCCAUUCUUGCGACACGACGAGAUGCGCUUCUAUCCGGCCCUGACGAGGCCUUCGUGCCAAAUUGAGGAUAGGGUCGCAUCUUGCGCGUGACAUAACAUAAUUCCAACAGACUUUCAGCAUCGCUACGAGUGAGAAAAUCACAUCAUAGUCAACUCUUUGAUCUUGUCGAAAACAUCUUUGCGACAAGUCGAGCUUUUCUUAAUAGUGACUUAUCACCAUCAUCGUCUGUCUUCCUUUUAAAGAUCCAUCUUUACUUAAUAGUCUUACUACCAUCAAGCAAUUCUUCCAAAGUCUACACUUUGUUUUAUACAUGGAUCCUCUCUCGGAUUUUAUGGCCUCGAGCCAUUUGUCGGAAUCCGGGCCCACCAUUGCUUCUCCAUAACUCGUAGGUUCAUUGUUGCUCAACAACAUGACCUCCAAGACAGGGUUACCAUACCACUCUGUAGUAGUACGCGACCUUUGUCGAUCUACGAGGUUUGUAGUAACUUGAUCUAAUGCUCAAUGAUCACUAUCAUCAGCUUCCACUUCAAUUGGUAUAGGCGCCACAGGAACAACUUCCUGCGCCCUGCUACACGCUGGUUGAAGUGACGGUUGAAUAACCUCAUCAAGUUCCACCACUCUCCCACUCAAUUCUUUCGAGAGAAACCUUUCCUCGAGAAAGGAUCCGUUUCUAGAAACAAACACUUUGCUUCCGGAUCUGAGAUAGGAGAUGUAUCCAACUGUCUUGGAUAUCCUAUGAAGAUGCUUUUAUCCGCUUUGGGUUCUAGCUUAUCAGACUAAAACUUUUUCACAUAAGCAUCGCAGCCCCAAACUUUCAAGAAACGAGAACUUAGAUUUCUCUAAACCUCAGUCUAUACUGUGUCAUCUCAACGGAAAUACGCGGUGCCCUAUUUCAAGUGAAUGGGGUUGUCUCUAAUGUAUAACCCGUAAACGAUAGUGGUAAUUCGAUAAGAGACAUCAUGGUAUGCAUCAUAUCAAAUAUGGCGUGGCUAUGACGUUCAGACACAUCAUCACACUAUGGUGUUCCAGGUGGCAUGAAUUGCGAAACAAUUUUCACUUUGUCCUAACUGCGUACCAAAAACUCGUAACUCAGAUAUUCAUCUCUAUGAUCAUAUCGUAGACAGUUUAUCCUCUUGUCACGACGAUCUUCACUCUGAAAUUGCUUUGAACUUUUCAAUAUUUCAGACUUGUGAUUCAUCAAGUAAAUACUCAUGUAUCUACUCAAAUCGUCAGUAAAGUAAGAACAUAACGAUAUCCACUGCGUGCCUUAGCACUUAUUGGACUGCACACAUCAAAAAUGCAUUACUCCCAACAAGUUACUCUACUUGUUUCAUGUGGCAUGUUUUGCAUGUCUCAAGUGAUUCAAAAUCAAGUGAGUCGAAACAAUCCAUCUCUAUGGAGCUUCUUCAUGCAUUUUAUACCAACAUGACUCAAGUGGCAGUGCCACAACUAAGUGGUACUAUCAUCAUUACCUUGUAUCUUUUGGCACCAAUAUUAUGAACAUGUGUAACACUACGGUCGAGAUUCAAUAAACCAUUGAAGGUGUUUAUUCAAGCAAAUAGAGUAACCAUUAUUCUCUUUAAAUGAAUAAUCGUAUUGCAAUAAACACGAUCCAAUCAUGUUCAUGCUUAACGCAAGCACCAAAUAACAAUUAUUUAGGUUUAACACCAAUCCCGAUGGUAGAGGGAGCGCGCGACGUUUGAUCAUAUCAACCUUGGAAACACUUCCAACACGUAUCGUCACCUCGCCUUUAGCUAGUCUCCGUUUAUUCCGUAGCUUUCAUUUCGUGUUUACUAAUCACUUAGCAACCGAACCGGUAUCCAAUACGCUCGUGCUACUAGGAGUACUAGUAAAGUACACAUCGGCAUCAUGUACAUCAAAUAUACUACUUUCGACUUUGCCAACCUUCUUAUCUACCAAGCAUCUAGGGUAGCUCCGCCUCAGUGACCGUUCCCCUCAUAACAGAAGCACUUAGUCUCGGGUUUGGGUUUAAUCUUGGGUCUCUUUAUUAGUGCAGCAACUAUUUUGUCGUUUCACGAAUUAUCCCUUCUAGCCCUUCCCUUUCUUGAAACUUAGUGGUUUUACUAACCAUCAACUUAUUGAUGCUCCUUGUUGAUUUCUACUUUCGCAGUGUCAAACAUCACGGAUCGCUCAAGGAUCAUUGUAUCUAUCCUUGAUAUGUUAUAGUUCAUCACGAAGCUCUCACAGCUUGGUGGCAGUGACUUUGGAGAACCAUCACUAUCUCAUGUGGAAGAUCAACUCCCACUUGAUUCAAGCGAUUGUCGUACUCAGACAAUCUAAGCACUCGCUCAACGAUUGAGCUUUUCUCCUUUACUUCGUGGACAAAGAAUCUUGUCGGAGGUCUCAUACCUCUUAACAAGGGCACAAGCAUGAAAUCACAAUUUCAUCUCUUUUAGAACAUCUCUUAUGUUCCGUGACGUUUCAAAACGUCUUGGGCGCCUUGCUUCUAAGCCAUUAAGUAUUUUGCACUGAACUAUCGCGUAGUCCUCACAAACAUGUAUGUCGGAUGUUCAUAACAUCCACAGACGAUGCUCGAGGUGCAGCACACCGAGUGAUGCAUUAAGGACAUAAGCCUUCUGUGCAGCAAUGAGGACAAUCCUCAGUUUUACAGACUCAGUCUACAAAGUUUGCUACUAUCAACUUUCAACUAAAUUUUCUCUAGGAACAUAUAAAACAUUAGAGCUAUAGCGCAAGCUACAUCGUAAUUCGCAAAGACCAUUAGCUUAUGUUCAUGACAAUUAGUUCAAUUAAUUAUAUUACUUAAGAACUCCCACUCAAAAAGUACAUCUCUCUAGUCAUUUGAGUGGUACAUGAUCCAAAUUCACUAUCUCAAGUCCGAUCAUCACGUGAGUCGAGAAUAGUUUCAGUGGUAAGCAUCUCUAUGCUAAUCAUAUCAACUAUACGAUUCAUGCUCAACCUUUCGGUCUCAUGUGUUCCGAGACCAUGUCUGCACAUUCUAGGCUCGUCAAGUUUAACCCGAGUGUUCCGCGUGUGCAACUAUUUUGCACCCGUUGUAUGUAAACGUUGAGUCUAUCACACCCGAUCAUCACGUGGUGUCUCGAAACGACAAAUUGUCGCAACGGUGCACAGUCGGGGAGAACAUAAUUUCAUCUUGAAAUUUUAGUGAGAGAUCACCUCAUAAUGCCACCAUCGUUCUAAGCAAGAUAAGGUGCAUAAAGGAUUAACAUCACACGCAAUUCAUAAGUGACAUGAUAUGGCCAUCAUCAUGUGCUUCUUGAUCUCCAUCACCAAAGCACCUGGCACGAUCUUCUUGUCACCGGCGUCACACCAUGAUCUCCAUCAACGUGUCGCCAUCGGGGUUGUCGUGCUACUCAUGCUAUUACUACUAAAGCUACGUCCUAGCAAUAUAGUAAACGCAUCUGCAAGCACAAACGUUAGUUUAAAGACAACCCUAUGGCUCCUGCCGGUUGCCGUACCAUCGACAUGCAAGUAGAUAUUAACUAUUACAACAAGAUCAUCUCAUACAUCCAAUAUAUCACAUCACGUCAUUGGCCAUAUCACAUCACAAGCAUACCCUGCAAAAACAAGUUAGACGCCCUCUAAUUGUUGUUGCAUGUUUUACGUGGUUGCCACGGGUAUCUAGUAGGAUCGCAUCUUACUUACGCAAACACCACAACGGAGAUGUAUGAAUUGCUAUUUAACCUCUCUCCAAGGACCUCCUCGGUCAAAUCCGAUUCAAGUAAAGUUGGAGAAACCGACACUCGUCAGUCAUCUUUGAGCAACGGGGUUGCUCGUAGCGAUGAAACCAGUCUCUCGUAAGCGUACGAGUAAUGUCGGUCCGAUCCGCUUCGAUCCAACAAUACCACGGAAUCAAGAAAAGACUAAGGAGGGCAACAAAUCGCACAUCACUGUCCACAAAAACUUUUGUGUUCUACUCGAGAUAACAUCUACGCAUGAACCUAACUCAUGAUGCCACUGUUGGGGAACGUCGCAUGGGAAACAAAAAUUCCUACGCGCACGAAGACCUAUCAUGGUGAUGUCCAUCUACGAGAGGAGAUUUCCGAUCUACGUACCCUUGUAGAUCGCACAGCAGGAAGCGUUAAGAAACGCGGUUGAUGUAGUGGAACGUCCUCACGUCCCUCGAUCCGUCCUGCGAACCGUCCCACGAACCGUCCCGCGAUCCGUCCCACGAUCCGUCCUGCGAUCCGUCCCAUAAACCAUCUCGCUAUCCGUUGCACGAACCGUCUUGCGAUCCAUGUCAUGAUCCGUUCCGAUCUAGUGCCGAACAGACGGCACCUCCGCGUUCAGCACACGUACAGCUCGACGAUGAUCUCGGCCUUCUUGAUCCAGCAAGAGAGACGGAGAGGUAGAUGAGUUCUCCGGUAGCGUGACGGCGCUCCAGAGGUUGGUGGUGAUCUAUCUCAGCAGGGCUCCGCCUGAGCUCCGUAGAAAUACGAUCUAGAGGAAAAACCAUGGAGGUAUGUGGUCGGGCUGCCGUGGCAAAGUUGUCUCAAAUCAGCCCUAAUACCUCAGUAUAUAUAGGAGGGAGGGGAGGGACCUUGCCUUGAGGCUCAAGGAGCCCCAAGGGGUCGGCCGAAGGGGGGGAGGAGGAGUCCUCCUCCAAUCCUAGUCCAACUAGGAUUGGAAGGUGGAGUCCUUCUCUACAUUCCCACUUCCCCCUUUUUUUCCUUUCUCUUUGAUUUUUCUCUCUCCUGCGCAUAGGGCCUCUUGGGCUGUCCCACCAGCCCACUAAGGGCAGGUGCAGCACCCCUAAGUCCUAUGGGCUUCCCCCGGGUAGGCUGCCCCCCCCCGGUGAACAUCCGGAACCCAUUCGUCACUCCCGGUACAUUCCCGGUAAUGCCGAAAACUUUCCGGUAAUCAAAUGAGGUCAUCCUAUAUAUCAAUCUUCGUCUCCGGACCAUUCCGGAAACCCUCAUGACGUCCGUGAUCUCAUCCGGGACUCCGAACAAUAUUUGGUAACCAACCAUAUAACUCAAUCUCGUUUACCGGCAAGUCUCUUUACUCGUUCCGUAAUACAAGAUCCCGUGACUUACACUAAGUCAUAUUGCUUGCAAGGCUUGUGUGUCAUGUUGUAUUACCGAGUGGGCCCCGAGAUACCUCUUUAUCACACGGAGUGACAAAUCCCAGUUUUGAUCCAUACUAACUCAACGGGCACCUUCGGAGAUACCUGUAGAGCAUCUUUAUAGUCACCCAGUUACGUUGUGACGUUUGAUUCACACAAGGCAUUCCUCCGGUGCUAGUGAGUUAUAUGAUCUCAUGGUCAUAUGAAUAAAUACUUGACACGCAGAAAAAUAGUAGCAACAAAAUAACACGAUCAACAUGCUACGUUCAUUAGUUUGGGUCGACUCUCCUAGUGAUGUGAUCCCGUCAUCAAGUGACAACACUUGCCUAUGGUCAGGAAACCUUGACCAUCUUUGAUCAACGAGCUAGUCAACUAGAGGCUUACUAGGGACAGUGUUUUGCCUAUGUAUCCACACAAGUAUUGUGUUUCCAAUCAAUACAAUUAUAGCAUGGAUAAUAAAUGAUUAUCAAGAACAAAGAAAUAUAAUAAUAACUAAUUUAUUAUUGCCUCUAGGGCAUAUUUCCAACAUUUUCCCCUUGUUGAAAUUGCAGUUGUGAUGUGUGUUCAGAUAGGGCUCAUUAGGGCAUACUGGUGGCAAAGUUGCAUUUGAGACAGGGUAGAGGACACCUUUUUGGGAAAAACUAUAAACAGCAGGCUCACCAGCAUGACUAGUGGGAAUUUGUUCCUCAAGCAAGAUGUGAUCCAUAUUCAAAUCAGCUCGGCUAGGAUCACUAGCUUUUCUCACAGUGAUGUUCAGAACUUUCUUAUGAACAUAGAUGGCAAGCAUUUCCUCUACUUUAUCUUGACUAUCCAGGACCUCAAGCCCCUCCAAGCCCUUUCCCUGUCCCUUAACAUAAAUCAAAUAAAAAUCCAAUCCACACCCCUCCAAUUCAAUCAAUGCUAAUAAGGUGAGAUAUUUCAUAUCUAAUACUCCCUCCGUUCCUAAAUACAAGUCUUUUAAGAUAUUUCAUUAUGAGUCUACAUACGGAACAAAAUGAAUGAAUCUCCCCUCUAAAGUAUGUCUAUAUACAUCCGUAUGUAGUUCACUAAUGAAAACUCUUUAAAGACUUAUAUUUAGGAAUGGAGGAAGUAGUGAAAACUUUCUCUCAAUAUUAUCUCUUCCUAGAAAAUGUAUUCUCACUUCCCAAACCUCAUCAUCUAAGCUGCAUCACAUUUAGUUGACAACAAAUGAAGCAGAUUGAAAAAAUUGCGAUACUUAAAUCACUGCCAAACAAUGGACAAACCUAAUUAUGCACUUCCAUACUAAGGCCACAUUUCUAAUACUAAAUCCCCAAUUAUUCACUCUAUUCUAGCCUUAAUAUGUGAGUCAACUUCUAGCCCUAAAUUACUAAGUUCAACUACAAAUAUGAGUACAAUUGAAACUACUUACCUAACUCCACCAAAAAGUGACGCCCAAGUGUGGCCACCAUCUCGGUCCGCAUGAAUGCACUUGGCCACUGCCCUAGCCGUGCAAAAUGUUGGAUCCAUCUAGACCUCCAUAUGUGUUGGCCACGGUGACCGCUGCGUCGGGAAGCUCGAGCUACCCAGCCACCUAUCAACCUCUGAAUGCCCACUGCCCUCCCCGAUGGUGCCGCCUUGGCUCAAAGGCUCGCCGAUGGGAUUCAACCGCUGCCAUCACUGGAACAAGGUCAGAGAGAGGAGGGAAUAGGUGAGGAGAGAAGAGAGUGACAGAGAGGUGAGGGACGGCCGAACGUCUAUCGUUCCGACCGUGCCGGUCGGUUCAAUCGGCCGUUAGCGGUUGCACCGUGAACGCGCCUGGCCAUGUGAGCUGACCUAUGGGUCUGCACAUCAGAAAAUUGUUUAAAUCGCUAGCAAGAGACAUUUUGGGUUUUUUGAAACUUGGUAGCUUUUAGCAAAAAAAAGAUUCUGUAGUUUUCUGGAACCCUAGCCCAGAUUGUGGUAGUUUUAUGCUAUUUACUCUUGUUGGUAGGCGGCAGCGGCUCCGAUGCAGAUCUAUAGUACUUGCGGCUGGAGCGGCUGCCAGCAACCUGCAUGACGCUCUAACGCGCGUGAACCUGAGACUUCAACUACCUUGCGAGCACGAGCACCUAAUGGUGCCAAGGGAGCAGUUGGUAAUGGUGUCACGCGCUAGGGGUAACGAUGUUGCCUGGCUGUGGAAGACAUGGAUUGCGUUGUGCGGUUGUGGGGCGGCGCAGAGCUCNNNNNNNNNNNNNNNNNNNNNNNNNNNNNNNNNNNNNNNNNNNNNNNNNNNNNNNNNNNNNNNNNNNNNNNNNNNNNNNNNNNNNNNNNNNNNNNNNNNNAUAAUAAAUAUAGUUAUUACUAUAAUUCCUGUAUCAAGAUAAUCGUUUAUUAUCCAUGCUAUAAUUGUAUUGAAUGAAGACUCAUUUACAUGUGUGGAUACAUAGAUAAAACACCAUCCCUAGCAAGCCUCUAGUUGGCUAGCCAGUUGAUCAAAGAUAGUCAGUGUCUUCUGAUUAUGAACAAGGUGUUGUUGCUUGAUAACUGGAUCACGUCAUUAGGAGAAUCACGUGAUGGACUAGACCCAAACUAAUAGACGUAGCAUGUUGAUCGUGUCAUUUUGUUGCUACUGUUUUCUGCGUGUCAAGUAUUUAUUCCUAUGACCAUGAGAUCAUAUAACUCACUGACACCGGAGGAAUGCUUUGUGUGUAUCAAACGUCGCAACGUAACUGGGUGACUAUAAAGAUGCUCUACAGGUAUCUCCGAAGGUGUUAGUUGAGUUAGUAUGGAUCAAGACUGGGAUUUGUCACUCCGUGUGAACGGAGAGGUAUCUCGGGGCCCACUCGGUAAUACAACAUCACACACAAGCCUUGCAAGCAAUGUAACUUAGUGUAAGUUGCGGGAUCUUGUAUUACGGAACGAGUAAAGAGACUUGCCGGUAAACGAGAUUGAAAUAGGUAUACGGAUACUAACGAUCGAAUCUCGGGCAAGUAACAUACCGAAGGACAAAGGGAAUGACAUACGGGAUUAUAUGAAUCCUUGGCACUGAGGUUCAAACGAUAAGAUCUUCGUAGAAUAUGUAGGAUCCAAUAUGGGCAUCGAGGUCCCGCUAUUGGAUAUUGACCGAGGAGUCUCUCGGGUCAUGUCUACAUAGUUCUCGAACCUGCAAGGUCUGCACACUUAAGGUUCAACGUUGUUUUAUGCGUAUUUGAGUUAUAUGGUUGGUUACCGAAUGUUGUUCGGAGUCCCGGAUGAGAUCACGGACGUCACGAGGGUUUCCGGAAUAGUCCGGAAACGAAGAUUGAUAUAUAGGAUGACCUCAUUUGAUUACCGGAAGGUUUUCGGAGUUACCGGGAAUGACGAAUGGGUUCCAGGAGUUCACCGGGGGGGGGCAACCCACCCCGGGGAAGGCCAUAGGCCUUGAGGGUGGCACACCAGCCCUUAGUGGGCUGGUGGGACAGCCCAAAAGGGCUCUAUGCGCCAAGAAGAGAAAAUCAAGAGAAAAAAAAAGGGAGGAGGUGGGAAGGAACGGGGACUCCCUCCCACCAAACCAAGUCCAACUCGGUUUGGGGGGGAGUCCUCCCCCCUUGGACUCGGCCGACCCCCUUGGGGCUCCUUGAGCCCCAAGGCAAGGUCCCCUCCCUCCCACCUAUAUAUACGGAGGUUUUAGGGCUGAUUUGAGACGACUUUUCCACGGCAGCCCGACCACAUACCUCCACGGUUUUUCCUCUAGAUCGCGUUUCUGCGGAGCUCGGGCGAAGCCCUGCUGAGACAAGGUCAUCACCAACCUCCGGAGCGUCGUCACGCUGCCGGAGAACUCUUCUACCUCUCCGUCUCUCUUGCUGGAUCAAGAAGGCCGAGAUCAUCGUCGAGCUGUACGUGUGCUGAACGCGGAGGUGUCGUCCGUUCGGUACUAGAUCGUGGGACUGAUCGCGGGAUUGUUCGCGGGGCGGAUCGAGGGACGUGAGGACGUUCCACUACAUCAACCGCAUUCACUAACGCUUCUGUUGUACGAUCUACAAGGGUACGUAGAUCACUCAUCCCCUCUCGUAGAUGGACAUCACCAUGAUAGGUCUUCGUGCGCGUAGGAAAUUUUUUGUUUCCCAUGCGACGUUCCCCAACAGUGGCAUCAUGAGCUAGGUUCAUGCGUAGAUGUAAUCUCGAGUAGAACACAAAAAGUUUUUGUGGGCGGUGAUGUGCGUUUUGCUGCCCUCCUUAGUCUUUUCUUGAUUCCGCGGUAUUGUUGGAUUGAAGCGGCUUGGACCGACAUUACUCGUACGCUUACGAGAGACUAGUUUCAUCGUUACGAGUAACUCCGUUGCUCAAAGAUGACUGGCAAUUGUCGGUUUCUCCAACUUUAGUUGAAUCGGAUUUGACCGAGGAGGUCCUUGGAUGAGGUUAAAUAGCAACUCAUAUAUCUCCGUUGUGGUGUUUGCGUAAGUAAGAUGCGAUCCUACUAGAUACCCAUGGUCACCACGUAAAACAUGCAACAACAAAAUUAGAGGACGUCUAACUUGUUUUUGCAGGGUAUGCUUGUGAUGUGAUAUGGCCAAUGAUGUGACGUGAUAUAUUGGAUGUAUGAGAUGAUCAUGUUGUAAUAGAAAUAUCGACUUGCACGUCGAUGGUACGGCAACCGGCAGGAGCCAUAGGGUUGUCUUUACACUAACGUGUGUGCUUGCAGAUGCGUUUACUAUUUUGCUAGGAUGUAGCUUUCGUAGUAAUAGCAUGAGUAGCACGACAACCCCGAUGGCAACAUGUUGAUGGAGAUCAUGGUGUGGCGCCGGUGACAAGAAGAUCGUGCCGGUGCUUUGGUGAUGGAGAUCAAGAAGCACGUGAUGAUGGCCAUAUCAUGUCACUUAUGAAUUGCAUGUGAUGUUAAUCCUUUUAUGCACCUUAUUUUUCUUAGAACGACGGUAGCAUUAUGAGGUGAUCUCUCACUAAAAUUUAAAGACGAAAUUGUGUUCUCCCCGACUGUGUACCGUUGCUACAGUUCGUCGUUUCGAGACACCACGUGAUGAUCGGGUGUGAUAGACUCAACGUUCACAUACAACGGGUGCAAAACAGUUGCGCACGCGGAACACUCGGGUUAAGCUUGACGAGCCUAGCAUGUGCAGACAUGGCCUCAGAACACAUGAGACCGAAAGGUCGAUCAUGAAUCAUAUAGAUGAUAUGAUUAGCAUAGGGAUGCUUACCACUGAAACUAUACUCAACUCACGUGAUGAUCGGACUUGAGCUAGUGUAAGUGGAUCAUGAACCACUCAAAUGACUAGAGAGAUGUACUUUUUGAGUGGGAGUUUAGCGAAUAAUUUGAUUAAGUUAAACUCUAAUUAUCUUGAACAUAGUCUAAGUCCAGUUUGAAUAUAUUUGUGUUGUAGAUCAUGGCUCACGCGACAGUCAUCCUGAAUUUUAAUACGUUCCUAGAGAAAGCUAAGUUGAAAGAUGAUGGAAGCAACUUUGUAGACUGGGCUCGUAAUCUUAAGCUAAUCUUACAAGCUGGGAAGAAGGAUUAUGUCCUUAAUGCUGCGUUAGGAGAUGAACCACCCGCUACGGCUGAUCAGGAUGUUAAGAACGCUUGGUUAGCACGUCAGGAGGACUACUCAAUAGUUCAAUGUGCAGUCUUGUAUGGCUUAGAACCGGGACUUCAACGUCGCUUUGAGCGUCAUGGAGCAUUUGAGAUGUUCCAGGAGUUGGAGUUUAUCUUUCAGAAGAACGCCCGGAUCGAGAGGUAUGAGACCUUCGAUAAAUUCUAUGCUUGCAAGAUGGAGGAAAACUCAUCUGUCAGUGAACAUGUGCUCAAAAUGUCUGGGUACUCAAACCGUCUAGCUGAGCUGGGGAUUGAACUCCCGCAAGAAGCUAUCACUGACAGAAUCCUUCAAUCACUGCCGCCAAGCUAUAAAGGCUUUGUGUUGAACUAGAACAUGCAAGGGAUGAACAAGUCUCCCGGCGAGUUGUUUGUGAUGCUGAAAGUCGCAGAGUCUGAACUCCGUAAAGAGCAUCAAGUGUUGAUGGUGAAUAAGACCACUAGUUUCAAGAGAAACGGCAAAGGCAAGAAGGGCAAUUCGAAGAAGAGCGGCAAGCCUGUUGCCAAUCCGACGAAGAAACCCAAAGCUGGACCUAAGCCGGAAACGGAGUGUUACUAUUGCAAGGGUAUGGGUCACUGGAAGCGCAAUUGCCCCAAGUAUCUGGCAGAUAAGAAGGCGGGCAAAGAAAAAUCAGGUAUAUUUCAUAUACAUGUUAUUGAUGUGUACUUAACUGGCUCUCGUAGUAGUGCCUGGGUAUUCGAUACCGGUUCUGUUGCUCAUAUUUGCAACUCGAAACAGGAACUGCGGAAUAGGCGAAGGCUGGCGAAAGAUGAAGUGACGAUGCGCGUAGGAAAUGGUUCCAAGGUUGAUGCAAUCGCCGUCGGCACAGUGUCACUUCAGUUACCGUCAGGAUUAGUGAUGAACUUAAAUCAUUGUUAUUUAGUGCCUGCGUUGAGCAUGAACAUUAUAUCUGGAUCUUGUUUAUUGCGAGACGGUUACUCUUUUAAGUCAGAGAAUAAUGGUUGUUCUAUUUCUAUGAGUAACAUCUUUUAUGGUCAUGCACCGAAUGUGAGAGGAUUGUUCAUAUUGAAUCUUGAUAGCGAUACGCAUAUACAUAACAUUGAGACCAAAAGAGUUAGAGUUAACAAUGAUAGCGCCAUAUUUUUGUGGCACUGCCGCUUAGGUCAUAUUGGUGUAAAGCGCAUGAAGAAACUCCAUGCUGAUGGACUUUUGGAGUCACUUGACUUUGAUUCACUUGACACGUGCGAACCAUGCCUCAUGGGCAAGAUGACUAAGACUCCGUUCUCCGGAACAAUGGAGCGUGCAAGUGACUUAUUGGAAAUCAACAUACCGAUGUGUGUGGUNNNNNNNNNNNNNNNNNNNNNNNNNNNNNNNNNNNNNNNNNNNNNNNNNNNNNNNNNNNNNNNNNNNNNNNNNNNNNNNNNNNNNNNNNNNNNNNNNNNNUACUUGACACGCNGAAACAGUAGCAACAAAAUGACACGAUCAACAUGCUACGUCUAUUAGUUUGGGUCUAGUCCAUCACGUGAUUCUCCUAAUGACGUGAUCCAGUUAUCAAGCAACAACACCUUGUUCAUAAUCAGAAGACACUGACUAUCUUUGAUCAACUGGCUAGCCAACUAGAGGCUUGCUAGGGACGGUGUUUUGUCUAUGUAUCCACACAUGUAAAUGAGUCUUCAUUCAAUACAAUUAUAGCAUGGAUAAUAAACGAUUAUCUUGAUACAGGAAUUAUAAUAAUAACUAUAUUUAUUAUUGCCUCUAGGGCAUAAUUCCAACAGUCUCCCACUUGCACUAGAGUCAAUAAUCUAGCCCUCACAUCACCAUGUGAAUUACAUUGUAAUAAAUCUAACACCCAUACAGUUCUGGUGUUGAUCAUGUUUUGGCCGUGGAAGAGGUUUAGUCAGCGGGUCUGCUACAUUCAGAUCCGUGUGCACUUUGCAUAUAUUUACGUCCUCUCCCUCGACGUAGUCGCGGAUGAGGUUGAAGCGUCGUUUGAUGUGUCUGGUCUUCUUGUGAAACCGCGGUUCCUUUGCUAUGGCAAUGGCACCAGUGUUGUCACAGAACAAGGUUAUUGGAUUCAGUGCGCUUGGCACCACUCCAAGAUCCGUCAUGAACUGCUUCAUCCAGACACCCUCCUUAGCCGCCUCCGAGGCAGCCAUGUACUCCGCUUCACAUGUAGAAUCUGCUACGACGCUUUGCUUGGAACUGCACCAGCUUACUGCACCCCCAUUAAGAAUAAAUANNNNNNNNNNNNNNNNNNNNNNNNNNNNNNNNNNNNNNNNNNNNNNNNNNNNNNNNNNNNNNNNNNNNNNNNNNNNNNNNNNNNNNNNNNNNNNNNNNNNCAUGGGCAAGAUGACUAAGACUCCGUUCUCCGGAACAAUGGAGCGUGCAAGUGACUUAUUGGAAAUCAACAUACCGAUGUGUGUGGUCCAAUGAGCGUGGAGGAACGCGGCGGAUAUCGUUAUUUUCUCACCUUCACUGACGAUUUGAGUAGGUAUGGUUAUGUCUACUUGAUGAAGCACAAGUCUGAAACAUUUGAAAAGUUCAAGCAAUUUCAGAGUGAAGUGGAAAAUCAUCGUAACAAGAAGAUCAAGUUCCUGCGGUCUGAUCGUGGGGGUGAAUAUCUGAGUUUCGAGUUUGGUGCUCACUUAAUACAAUGUGGAAUUGUUUCACAGUUAACACCGCGUGGAACACCACAGCGUAAUGGUGUGUCCGAACGUCGUAAUCGUAGUCUAUUAGAGAUGGUGCGAUCUAUGAUGUCUCUUACUGAUUUGCCGUUAUCAUUUUGGGGCUAUGCAUUAGAAACAGCUGCAUUCACUUUAAAUAGGGCACCAUCAAAAUCCGUUGAGACGACACCAUACGAACUGUGGUAUGGCCAAAGGCCAAAGUUGUCGUUUCUUAAAGUUUGGGGAUGUGAUGCUUAUGUCAAAAAGCUUCAGCCUGAAAAGCUGGAACCCAAAGCGGAAAAGCGCGUCUUCAUAGGUUACCCAAAAGAGACAGUUGGGUACACCUUCUAUCUCAAAUCCGAGGGCAAAGUGUUUGUUGCUAAAAACGGAGAUUUUCUCGAGAAGGAGUUUCUCUCGAGAGAAUUGAGUGGGAGGAAGAUAGAACUUGACGAGGUUGUCGAACCUCUCAUCCCUCUGGAUGGUGGCGCAGGGCAAGGGGAAACCUCUGUCAUUGCAACGCCGGUUGAGGAGGAAGUUAAUGAUGAUGAUCAUGAAACUCCAGUUCAAGUUUCUGUCGAACCACGCAGGUCGACGAGACCACAUGCUGCUCCAGAGUGGUACGGUAAUCCCGUCUUAUCAAUCAUGUUGUUAGACAACAAUGAACCUGCGAAUUAUGAAGAAGCAAUGGUGGGCCCAGAUUCCAACAAAUGGCUGGAAGCCAUGAAGUCCGAGAUAGGAUCCAUGUAUGAGAACAAAGUGUGGACUUUGGAGGUACUGCCUGAGGGCCACAAGGCCAUUCAGAACAAAUGGAUCUUUAAGAAGAAGACGGACGCUGACGGUAAUGUGACCGUUUAUAAAGCUCGACUUGUGGCAAAGGGUUUUUCACAAGUUCAAGGAGUUGACUACGAUGAGACUUUCUCACCCGUAGCGAUGCUUAAGUCUGUCAGAAUCAUGUUAGCAAUAGCUGCAUUUUUCGAUUAUGAAAUCUGGCAGAUGGAUGUCAAAACGGCGUUCCUUAACGGUUUCCUUAAGGAAGAGUUGUAUAUGAUACAACCCGAAGGUUUUGUCAAUCCUAAGAAUGCUAACAAGGUGUGCAAGCUCCAGCGAUCCAUUUAUGGACUGGUGCAAGCAUCUCGGAGUUGGAACAAACGCUUUGAUGAGGUGAUCAAAGCAUUUGGGUUUAUACAAGUGGUUGGAGAAUCUUGUAUUUACAAGAAAGUGAGUGGGAGCUCUGUGGCGUUUCUAAUAUUAUAUGUGGAUGACAUAUUACUGAUUGGAAACAACGUAGAGUUUUUAGAGAGCAUAAAGGAUUACUUGAAUAAAAGUUUCUCUAUGAAGGACCUAGGAGAAGCUGCUUACAUUCUAGGCAUUAAGAUCUAUAGGGAUAUAUCAAAACACCUGAUAGGACUUUCACAAAGCACAUACCUUGAUAAAGUUUUGAAGAGGUUCAAAAUGGAACACUCCAAGAAAGGGUUCUUGCCAGUUCUACAAGGUACGAGAUUGAGUAAGAAUCAGUGCCCAGCAACUGAUGAAGAUAGAGAGCAUAUGUGCUCCGUCCCCUAUGCUUCAGCCAUAGGUUCUAUCAUGUAUGCCAUGUUGUGCACUAGACCGGAUGUUAGCCUGGCCAUAAGUAUGGCAGGUAGGUUCCAGAGUAAUCCAGGAGUGGAUCACUGGACAACGGUCAAGAAUAUCCUGAAGUACGUGAAAAGGACUAAGGAGAUGUUUCUCGUGUAUGGAGGUGACGAAGAGCUCGCCGUAAAAGGUUACGUCGAUGCAAGCUUUGACACAGAUCCGGACGACUCUAAGUCGCGAACCGGAUACAUAUUUAUUCUUAAUGGGGGUGCAGUAAGCUGGUGCAGUUCCAAGCAAAGCGUCGUAGCAGAUUCUACAUGUGAAGCGGAGUACAUGGCUGCCUCGGAGGCGGCUAAGGAGGGUGUCUGGAUGAAGCAGUUCAUGACGGAUCUUGGAGUGGUGCCAAGCGCACUGAAUCCAAUAACCUUGUUCUGUGACAACACUGGUGCCAUUGCCAUAGCAAGGAACGACGGUUCGUACNNNNNNNNNNNNNNNNNNNNNNNNNNNNNNNNNNNNNNNNNNNNNNNNNNNNNNNNNNNNNNNNNNNNNNNNNNNNNNNNNNNNNNNNNNNNNNNNNNNNGAUCUAGUACCGAACGGACGGCACAUCCGCGUUCAGCACACGUACAGCUCGACGAUGAUCUCGGCCUUCUUGAUCCAGCAAGAGAGACGGAGAGGUAGAAGAGUUCUCCGGAAGCGUGACGGUGCUCCGGAGGUUGGUGAUGACCUUGUCUCAGCAGGGCUCCGCCCGAGCUCCGCAGAAAUGCGAUCUAGAGGAAAAACCGUGGAGGUAUGUGGUCGGGCUGCCGUGGAAAAGUCGUCUCAAAUCAGCCCUAAAACCUCCGUAUAUAUAGGUGGGAGGGAGGGGACCUUGCCUUGGGGCUCAAGGAGCCCCAAGGGGGUCGGCCGAGUCCAAGGGGGGAGGACUCCCCCCCAAACCGAGUUGGACUUGGUUUGGUGGGAGGGAGUCCCCSUCCCUUCCCACCUCCUCCYUUUUCCUUUCCUUYCYUCUUGAUUUUUCUUCUCUUGGCGCAUUGAGCCCUUUUGGGCUGUCCCACCAGCCCUUAGGGGCUGGUGGGACACCCACAAGUGCCUAUGCGCCAAGGAGAAGAAAAUCAAGAGNNNNNNNNNNNNNNNNNNNNNNNNNNNNNNNNNNNNNNNNNNNNNNNNNNNNNNNNNNNNNNNNNNNNNNNNNNNNNNNNNNNNNNNNNNNNNNNNNNNNAAAUCAAGAGAGAAAGAAAAAAAAGGAGGAAGGGGGACUCCCUCCCACCAAACCUAGUCCAACUCGGUUUGGGGGGGGGGAGAGUCCUCCCCCUUGGACUCGGCCGACCCCCUUGGGGAUCCUUGAGCCCCAAGGCAAGGCCCCCUCCCUCCCACCUAUAUAUACGGAGGUUUUAGGGCUGAUUUGAGACGACUUUUCCACAGCAGCCCGACCACAUACCUCCACGGUUUUUCCUCUAGAUCGCGUUUCUGCGGAGCUCGGGCGAAGCCCUGCUGAGACAAGGUCAUCACCAACCUCCGGAGCGCCGUCACGCUGCCGGAGAACUCUUCUACCUCUCCGUCUCUCUUGCUGGAUCAAGAAGGCCGAGAUCAUCGUCGAGCUGUACGUGUGCUGAACGCGGAGGUGCCGUCCGUUCGGUACUAGAUCGUGGGACUGAUCGCGGGAUUGUUCGCGGGGCGGAUCGAGGGACGUGAGGACGUUCCACUACAUCAACCGCGUUCUCUAACGCUUCUGCUAUACGGUCUACAAGGGUACGUAGAUCACUCAUCCCCUCUCGUAGAUGGACAUCACUAUGAUAGGUCUUCGUGCGCGUAGGAAAAUUUUUGUUUCCCAUGCGNNNNNNNNNNNNNNNNNNNNNNNNNNNNNNNNNNNNNNNNNNNNNNNNNNNNNNNNNNNNNNNNNNNNNNNNNNNNNNNNNNNNNNNNNNNNNNNNNNNNAUGAUAGGUCUUCGUGCGCGUAGGAAAAUUUUUGUUUCCCAUGCGACGUUCCCCAACAGUGGUAUCAGAGCUAGGUUCAUGCGUAGAUGUCUUCUCGAGUAGAACACAAAAGUUUUUGUGGGCGGUGAUGUGCGUUUUGCUGCCCUCCUUAGUCUUUUCUUGAUUCCCGGAUAUUGUUGGAUUGAAGCGGCUUGGACCGACAUUACUCGUACGCUUACGAGAGACUGGUUUCAUCGUUACGAGUAACCCCCUUUGCUCAAAGAUGACUGGCAAGUGUCGGUUUCUCCAACUUUAGUUGAAUCGGAUUUGACCGAGGAGGUCCUUGGAUGAGGUUAAAUAGCAACUCAUAUAUCUCCGUUGUGGUGUUUGCGUAAGUAAGAUGCGAUCCUACUAGAUACCCUUGGUCACCACGUAAAACAUGCAACAACAAAAUUAGAGGACGUCUAACUUGUUUUUGCAGGGUAUGCUUGUGAUGUGAUAUGGCCAACGAUGUGAUGUGAUAUAUUGGAUGUAUGAGAUGAUCAUGUUGUAAUAGAAAUAUCGACUUGCACGUCGAUGGUACGGCAACCGGCAGGAGCCAUAGGGUUGUCUUUAUACUAACGUUUGUGCUUGCAGAUGCGUUUACUAUUUUGCUAGGAUGUAGCUUUAGUAGUAAUAGCAUGAGUAGCACGACAACCCCGAUGGCAACACGUUGAUGGAGAUCAUGGCGUGGCGCCGGUGACAAGAAGAUCGUGUCGGUGCUUUGGUGAUGGAGAUCAAGAAGCACGUGAUGAUGGCCAUAUCAUGUCACUUAUGAAUUGCAUGUGAUGUUAAUCCUUUUAUGCACCUUAUUUUGCUUAGAACGACGGUAGCAUUAUGAGGUGAUCUCUCACUAAAAUUUCAAGACGAAAUUGUGUUCUCCCCGACUGUGCACCGUUGCUACAGUUCGUCGUUUCGAGACACCACGUGAUGAUCGGGUGUGAUAGACUCAACGUUCACAUACAACGGGUGCAAAACAGUUGCGCACGCGGAACACUCGGGUUAAGCUUGACGAGCCUAGCAUGUGCAGACAUGGCCUCGGAACACAAGAGACCGAAAGGUCGAGCAUGAAUCGUAUAGAUGAUAUGAUUAGCAUAGAGAUGCUUACCACUGAAACUAUUCUCGACUCACGUGAUGAUCGGACUUGAGAUAGUGGAUUUGGAUCAUGUACCACUCAAAUGACUAGAGAGAUGUACUUUUUGAGUGGGAGUUCUUAAGUAAUAUGAUUAAUUGAACUAAUUGUCAUGAACAUAGUCUAAUGAUCUUUACGAAUUACGAUGUAGCUUGCGCUAUAGCUCUACUGUUUUUAUAUGUUCCUAGAGAAAAUUUAGUUGAAAGUUGAUAGUAGCAAACUUUGAAGAGGAUUGUCCUCGUUGCUGCGCAGAAGGCUUAUGUCCUUAAUGCACCACUCGGUGUGUUGCACCUCGAGCGUCGUCUGUGGAUGUUGUGAACAUCCGACACACACGUUUCUGAUGACUACACGAUAGUUCAGUGCAAAAUACUUAAUGGCUUAGAAGCAAGGCACCGAAGAUGUUUUGAAACGUCACGGAACAUAAGUGAUGUUCUAAAGAGAUGAAAUUGUGAUUUCAUGCUUGUGCCCUUGUUGAGAGGUACGAGACCUCCGACAAGAUUCUUUGUCCACAAAGUAAAGGAGAAAAGCUCAACCGUUGAGCGUGUGCUCAGAUUGUCUGAGUACGACAAUCACUUGAAUCAAGUGGGAGUUAAUCUUCCAAAUGAGAUAGUGAUGGUUCUCCAAAGUCACUGCCACCAAGCUGGGAGAGCUUCGUGAUGAACUAUAACAUAUCAAGGAUAGAUACAAUGAUCCUUGAGCGAUUCGCGAUGUUUGACACUGCGAAAGUAGAAAUCAAGAAGGAGCAUCAAUAGUUGAUGGUUUGUAAAACCACUAAGUUUCAAGAAAGGCAAGGGCUAGAAGGGAUACUUCGUGAAACGGCAAAACAGUUGCUACACUAAUGAAGAGACCCAAGAUUAAGCCCAAACCCGAGACUAAGUGCUUCUGUAAUGAGGGGAACAGUCACUGAGGCGGAGCGACUCUAGAUACUUGGUAGAUAAGAAGGCUGGCAAAAGUCGAAAAAAGUAUAUUUAAUAUACAUGAUGUUGAUGUGUACUUUACUAGUACUCCUAGUAGCAUGAGGGUAUUGGAUACCUGUUCGGUUGCUAAGUGAUUAGUUACACGAAAUGAAAGCUACGGCAUAAACGGAGCCUAGCUAAAGGCGAGGUGACGAUAAGUGUUGGAAGUGUUUUCAAGGUUGAUAUGAUCAAACAUCGCACGCUCCCUCUACCAUCGGGAUUGGUGUUAAACCUAAAUAAUUGUUAUUUGGUGCUUGCGUUAAGCAUGAACAUGAUUGGAUCGUGUUUAUUGCAAUACGAUUAUUCAUUUAAAGAGAAUAAUGGUUACUCUAUUUAUUUGAAUAUUCACCUUCAAAUGGUUUAUUGAAUCUCGAUCGUAGUGUUACACAUGUUCAUAAUAUUGGUGCCAAAAGAUACGAGUUAAUGAUGAUAGUACCACUUACUUGUGGCACUGCCGCUUGAGUCAUGUUAGUAUAAAUUGCAUGAAGAGGCUCCAUGCUGAUGGAUCCUUGUACUCACCUGAUUUCGAAUCACUAGUGACAUGCAAAUCAUACCACAUGAGCAAGGCCUUGUUUUCAUUGAGAUGAAACAAGAUAGUAACUUGUUGGAAGUGAUACAUUUUGAUGUAUGCAGUCCAAUGGGUGCUGAGGCACGCAGUGGAUAUCAUUAUGUUCUUAACUUCACUGGCGAUUUGAGUAGAUACAGGAGUAUUUACUUAAUGAAUCAGAAGUCUGAAAUAUUGAAAAGUUCAAUUCCGUUUCAGAGUGAAGUUCGUCGUAACAAGAGGAUAAACUGUCUACGAUAUGAUCAUAGAAAUGAAUAUCUGAGUUACGAAUUUUGGUACGCAGUUAAGACAAUGUGGAAAUUGUUUCGCAGUUCAUGCCACCUAGAACAUCAUAGGGUAAUGAUGUGUCUGAACAUCAUAGCCACACACUAUUUGUUAUGGUGCAUACUAUGAUGUCUCUUAUCGAAUUACCACUAUCGUUUAUGGGUUAUGCAUUAAAGACAACUGCACUCACUUUAAAUAGGGCACCGCGUGUUUCCGUUGAGAUGACACAGUAUAGACUGAGGUUUAGAAAAAUCUAAACUGUCGUUUCUUGAAAGUUUGGGGUUUUGACACUUAUGUGAAAAAGUUUCAGUCUGAUAAGCUCGAACCCAAAGCGGAUAAAUGCAUCUUCAUAGGAUAUCCAAAACAGUUGGGUACAUCUCCUAUCUCAGAUCCGAAAGCAAAGUGUUUGUUUCUAGAAACGGAUCCUUUCUCGAGGAAAGGUUUCUCUCGAAAGAAUUGAGUGGGAGGGUAGUAGAACUUGAUGAGGUUAUUGAACCAUCACUUCAACCAGUGUGUAGCAGGGCGCAGGAUGUUGUUCAUGUGGCGCCUACACCAAUUGAAGUGGAAGCUGAUGAUAAUGAUCAUUGAGCUUGGAAUCAAGUUACUACAAACCUCGUAGGUCGACAAGGUCGCGUACUGCUGCAGAGUAGUACGGUAACCCUGUCUUGGAGGUCAUGUUGUUGAGCAACAGUGAACCUACGAGUUAUGGAGAAAGCGAUGGUAGGCCCAGAUUCCGACAAAUGGUUGGAAGCCAUGAAAUCCGAGAGAGGAUCCAUGGAUGAAAACAAAGUGUAGACUUUGGAAGAAUUACUUGAUGGUCAUAGGACUAUUGAGUAAAGAUGGAUCUUUAAAAGAAAACAGACGAUGAUGGUGAUAAGUCACUAUUAAGAAAAGCUCGACUUGUCGCAAAGAUGUUUUCAACAAGAUCAAACAGUUGACUAUGAUGAGACUUUCUCACUCGUAGCGAUGCUAAAGGUCUGUUGGAAUUAUGUUAGUUGUUGAUGCAUUAUUUAUGAAAUAUUGCACGUAGGAUGUCAAAACAUUGUUUUCUCGACGGUUUCCUUGAGCAAACAUUGUAUGUGAUACAACCAGAAGGUUUUGUCGAUCCUAAAGAUACUAGCAAGUAUGCAAGCUCCAGUGAUCCUUCAAAGGACUGGUGCAAGCAUCUCGGAGUUGGAAUAUACACUUUGAUGAGAUGAUCAAAGUUUUUGGGUUUGUACAAGGUUUAUGAGAAACUUGUAUUUCCAAAGAAGUGAGUGGGAGCACUAUAGAAUUUCUGAUAAGUAUAUGUGCUUGACAUAUUGUGGAUCAGAAGUAAUGUAGAAUUUCUGUAAAACAUACAAGGUUGUUUGAAAGGAGUUUUCAAAGGAAUACCUGGAUUGAGGUGCUUGAACAUUGAGCAUCAAAGAUCUAUGGAGAUAGAUCGAAAGCGCUUAAUGGAAAUUUCAACAAGAUGCAUGCCUUGAAAAAUUUUUGAAGGAGUUCAAAAUAGAUCAGCAAAGAAGGAGUUCUUGGUUGCGUUGUGAGGUGUGAAUUUGAGUAAGACUCAAAACCCGACCCCGGCAGAAUAAAGAGAAUAAACGAAGGUCGUAUUCUAUGCCUUAGCCGUAGAAUCUAAAGUAUGCCAUGCUGUGUACCGCACCUGAUGUGUGCCUUGACUCAAAGUAUGUUGAGAGGUACAGAGAGUGAUCCAUGAUUGAAUCACUUGCAGCGGUCGAAAUUUAUCCUUAGUAACUAAUGGACUAAGGAUUUUUUUCUCGAUUAUGGAGGUGGUUAAAGAGUUUGUCGUAAAGGGUUACGUCAAUGCAAGCUUUGACACUAAUCCGAAUAACUAUGAGUAGUGAAACGGAUUCGUAUAGUAGAGUAGAUAUUUGGAGCAUUUCCGAAUAGCACGUAGUAGCAGCAUCUAUAAGAUGACAUAAAGAUUUGUAAAGAACGCACGGAUCUGAAAGUUUCAGAACCGUUGACUAAAACCUCUCUCACGAGCAAGACGUGAUCAGACCCCAUAACUAUAUGGGUGUUGGAUUCGUUGGAAUCACAUGGUGAUGUGAACUAGAUUAUUGACUCUAGUGCAAGUGGGAGACUGUUGGAAAUAUGCCCUAGAGGCAAUAAUAAAAUGGUUAUUAUCAUAUUUCCUUGUUCAUGAUAAUCGUCUAUCGUUCAUGCUAUAAUUGUAUUAACAGGAAACAGUAAUACAUGUGUGAAUGAAUAGAUCACAAUGUGUCCCUAGCAAGCCUCUAGUUGGCUAGCUCGUUAGUCAAUAGAUGAUCAUGGUUUCCUGAUCAUGGGCAUUAGAUGUCAUUGAUAACGGGAUCACAUCAUUGGGAGAAUGAUGUGAUGGACAAGACCCAAUCCUAAGCCUAGCACUAGAUCGUAUUGUUCGUAUGCUAAUGCUUUUCUAAUGUCAAGUAUAUUUUCCUUCGACCGUGAUAUUGUGCAACUCCCGGAUACCGUAGGAGUGCUUUGGGUGUAUCAAACGUCACAACGUAACUGGGUGACUAUAAAGGUGCACUACGUGUACCUCCGAAAGUGUCUGUUGGGUUGGCACGAAUCGAGAUCGGGAUUUGUCACUCCGUGUGACGGAGAGGUAUCUCUGGGCCCACUCGGUAGAACAUCAUCAUGAGCUCAAUGUGACUAAGGAGUUAGUCNNNNNNNNNNNNNNNNNNNNNNNNNNNNNNNNNNNNNNNNNNNNNNNNNNNNNNNNNNNNNNNNNNNNNNNNNNNNNNNNNNNNNNNNNNNNNNNNNNNNNNNNNNNNNNNNNNNNNNNNNNNNNNNNNNNNNNNNNNNNNNNNNNNNNNNNNNNNNNNNNNNNNNNNNNNNNNNNNNNNNNNNNNNNNNNNNNNNNNNNNNNNNNNNNNNNNNNNNNNNNNNNNNNNNNNNNNNNNNNNNNNNNNNNNNNNNNNNNNNNNNNNNNNNNNNNNNNNNNNNNNNNNNNNNNNNNNNNNNNNNAAGAAGCUGGACCUCGCCAGUCCGGAAACGAAGAUUGAUAUAUAGGAUGACCUCAUUUGAUUACCGGAAGGUUUUCGGAGUUACCGGGAAUGUACCGGGAAUGACGAAUGGGUUCCGGGAGUUCACCGGGGGGGCAACCCACCCCGAGGAAGCCCAUAGGCCUUGAGGGUGCCACACCAGCCCUUAGUGGGCUGGUGGGACAGCCCAAAAGGGCUCAAUGCGCCAAGAGAAGAAAAAUCAAGAGGAAAGGAAAAAAAAGGGAGGAGGUGGGAAGGGAGGGGGACUCCCUCCCACCAAACCAAGUCCAACUCGGUUUGGGGGGGGGAGUCCUCCCCCCUUGGACUCGGCCGACCCCCUUGGGGCUCCUUGAGCCCCAAGGCAAGGUCCCCUCCCUCCCACCUAUAUAUACGGAGGUUUUAGGGCUGAUUUGAGACGACUUUUCCACGGCAGCCCGACCACAUACCUCCACGGUUUUUCCUCUAGAUCGCGUUUCUGCGGAGCUCGGGCGGAGCCCUGCUGAGACAAGGUCAUCACCAACCUCCGGAGCGCCGUCACGCUGCCGGAGAACUCUUCUACCUCUCCGUCUCUCUUGCUGGAUCAAGAAGGCCGAGAUCAUCGUCGAGCUGUACGUGUGCUGAACGCGGAGGUGCCGUCCGUUCGGUACUAGAUCGUGGGACUGAUCGCGGGAUUGUUCGCGGGGCGGAUCGAGGGACGUGAGGACGUUCCACUACAUCAACCGCGUUCUCUAACGCUUCUGCUGUACGGUCUACAAGGGUACGUAGAUCACUCAUCCCCUCUCGUAGAUGGACAUCACCAUGAUAGGUCUUCGUGCGCGUAGGAAAAUUUUUGUUUCCCAUGCGACGUUCCCCAACACCAAGCACCCAAGAGUUAUAAGAUUCUCAAACUUCCACGUAUCACCGUAGAGAACUCAAAUCGUUGCACCAAAUGCAAUGGCAAGGGAACACGAAGUGCCCAAGUCCUUCUGUCCCAAAUCCCACCACAACAACUAAUGCUAUGGAGGAAAAUGAGAGGGAGAACGAAGAAGAACACGAAGAACUCCAAGAUCUCGAUCCAAGGGGUUCCCCUCACAAAGAGGAGAAAGUGAUUGGUGGAAAUGUGGAUCUAAAUCUCCUCUCUCUUUUCCUUCAAGAAUUAACACGAAUCAUUGGAGGGACCGAGAGUUAGCAAAUUCGAAGAAGGUCAACAAUGGGGAAGAACACGAGCUCAAGAGUUAGGGACCAUUGGGGAAUAAUACCCCUUAAAUAGGUCCCUCAAAAAUCCAGAUGUUAUGCACUCACCUGUGCACAAGCGGUAGUACCGCGCAGGGGAGCGGUACUUCCGCUUGAAGCGGUACUACCGCCCUGCACAGAGCGGUACUUCCGCUCAACAUGGACAAAGCGACCGAAGAAGCAAGAAGAAAAAACUAAGCGGAAGUGAGGACGGAAGGGGAGGGCGGCAGUACCGCUGGAGCGGUACUACAGCUCCACCCCAAGCGGUACUUCCGCUCAAACUUGAAAAAGCAUCGAAGAUGCCAGAAGAAAGAUACAAGCGGAAGUGAGGCCGAGCCUGGAGGGCGGUACUACCGCUNNNNNNNNNNNNNNNNNNNNNNNNNNNNNNNNNNNNNNNNNNNNNNNNNNNNNNNNNNNNNNNNNNNNNNNNNNNNNNNNNNNNNNNNNNNNNNNNNNNNCGCUGGGCCGGGGAAGCUGCGGGCCUGCCUCCUGGCCAUCGGGGCCGCGGGAGGAGGCCGGCCCAUAGGGGCGAGCUGGCCUGCGGGGAGGCCGACAGACGAGGGCGUCGUGCUCCUCGCGAUGGUUCCCCUCGGGACGAGCCAGGGGCAGCGGCUGCUGGCUGCCGGCACCAGGGGCGGUGGAGGCGCGCGCUGCAGGCUGCCGGGGGCGUCGAGGGAGGCGCGCUCCGGCGGGAUGUGGCAUCGGAGGCCGGCGAGCGGCAAGAUCUGGCGCGGCGGGGUCGGCCGACGUACGGGCGCGCGGCUUGACGGCGGUGCUCCGGCGAGGACGGGCGCAGGCGGCGGGGACGCUGGGACGGUAGGAUCUGCGGCGGCCUCCGGCGGCAGGGCACGAGCUCUGCGGCGAACGAAGGCUCGGGCGAGCCCCCGCGGCGGGGAGGCUCGGACUGCUGCCCUCGGGCAUGGGCGAGGUGGAGCGCUGCGGGCGGCGGUGGCGGCUCGNNNNNNNNNNNNNNNNNNNNNNNNNNNNNNNNNNNNNNNNNNNNNNNNNNNNNNNNNNNNNNNNNNNNNNNNNNNNNNNNNNNNNNNNNNNNNNNNNNNNAGAGUCCUCCCCCUUGGACUCGGCCGACCCCCUUGGGGCUCCUUGAGACCCAAGGCAAGGCCCCCUCCCUCCCACCUAUAUAUACAGAGGUUUUAGGGCUGAUUUGAGACGACUUUUCACGGUAGCCCGACCACAUACCUCCACGGUUUUUCCUCUAGAUCGCGUUUCUGCGGAGCUCGGGCGGAGCCCUGCUGAGACAAGGUCAUCACCAACCUCCGGAGCGCCGUCACGCUGCCGGAGAACUCUUCUACCUCUCCGUCUCUCUUGCUGGAUCAAGAAGGCCGAGAUCAUCGUCGAGCUGUACGUGUGCUGAACGCGGAGGUGCCGUCCGUUCGGUACUAGAUCGUGGGACUGAUCGCGGGAUUGUUCGCGGGGCGGAUCGAGGGACGUGAGGACGUUCCACUACAUCAACCGCGUUCUCUAACACUUCUGCUAUACGGUCUACAAGGGUACGUAGAUCACUCAUCCCCUCUCGUAGAUGGACAUCACCAUGAUAGGUCUUCGUGCGCGUAGGAAAAUUUUUGUUUCCCAUGCGACGUUCCCCAACAGUGGCAUCAUGAGCUAGGUUCAUGCGUAGAUGUCUUCCCGAGUAGAACACAAAAGUUUUUGUGGGCGGUGAUGUGCGUUUUGCUGCCCUCCUUAGUCUUUUCUUGAUUCCGCGGUAUUGUUGGAUUGAAGCGGCUUGGACCAACAUUACUCGUACGCUUACGAGAGACUGGUUUCAUCGUUACGAGUAACCCCCUUUGCUCAAAGAUGACUGGCAAGUGUCGGUUUCUCCAACUUUAGUUGAAUCGGAUUUGACCGAGGAGGUCCUUGGAUGAGGUUAAAUAGCAACUCAUAUAUCUCCGUUGUGGUGUUUGCGUAAGUAAGAUGCGAUCCUACUAGAUGCCCUUGGUCACCACGUAAAACAUGCAACAACAAAAUUAGAGAACGUCUAACUUGUUUUUGCAGGGUAUGCUUGUGAUGUGAUAUGGCCAACGAUGUGAUGUGAUAUAUUGGAUGUAUNNNNNNNNNNNNNNNNNNNNNNNNNNNNNNNNNNNNNNNNNNNNNNNNNNNNNNNNNNNNNNNNNNNNNNNNNNNNNNNNNNNNNNNNNNNNNNNNNNNNAAGACCUAUCAUGGUGAUGUCCAUCUACGAGAGUCAUACCCUGCAAAAACAAGUUAGACGUCCUCUAAUUUUGUUGUUGCAUGUUUUACGUGGUGACCAUGGGUAUCUAGUAGGAUUGCAUCUUACUUACGCAAACACCACAACGGAGAUAUAUGAGUUGCUAUUUAACCUCAUCCAAGGACCUCCUCGGUCAAAUCCGAUUCAACUAAAGUUGGAGAAACCGUCACUUGCCAGUCAUCUUUGAGCAAAGGGGGUUACUCGUAACGAUGAAACCAGUCUCUCGUAAGCGUACGAGUAAUGUCGGUCCAAGCCGCUUCAAUCCAACAAUACCGCGGAAUCAAGAAAAGACUAAGGAGGGCAGCAAAACGCACAUCACCGCCCACAAAAACUUUUGUGUUCUAGUCGAGAAGACAUCUACGCAUGAACCUAGCUCUGAUACCACUGUUGGGGAACGUCGCAUGGGAAACAAAAAUUUUCCUACGCGCACGAAGACCUAUCAUGGUGAUGUCCAUCUACGAGAGGGGAUGAGUGAUCUACGUACCCUUGUAGACCGUAUAGCAGAAGUGUUAGAGAACGCGGUUGAUGUAGUGGAACGUCCUCACGUCCCUCGAUCCGCCCCGCGAACAAUCCCGCGAUCAGUCCCACGAUCUAGUACCGAACGGACGGCACCUCCGCGUUCAGCACACGUACAGCUCGACGAUGAUCUCGGCCUUCUUGAUCCAGCAAGAGAGACGGAGAGGUAGAAGAGUUCUCCGGCAGCGUGACGGCGCUCCGGAGGUUGGUGAUGACCUUGUCUCAGCAGGGCUCCGCCCGAGCUCCGCAGAAACGCGAUCUAGAGGAAAAACCGUGGAGGUAUGUGGUCGGGCUGCUGUGGAAAAGUCGUCUCAAAUCAGCCCUAAAACCUCCGUAUAUAUAGGUGGGAGGGAGGGGGCCUUGCCUUGGGGCUCAAGGAGCCCCAAGGGGGUCGGCCGAGUCCAAGGGGGAGGACUCUCCCCCCCCCCAAACCGAGUUGGACUAGGUUUCGUGGGAGGGAGUCCCCCUUCCUUCCCACCUCCUCCUUUUUUUCUUUCUCUCUUGAUUUUCUUCUCCUUGGCGCAUAGGGCACUUGUGGGCUGUCCUACCAGCCCACUAAGGGCUGGUGUGUCUCCCCAAGGCCUAUGGGCUUCCCCGGGGUGGGUUCCCCCCCCCCCCCCCCCCCCCCUCCCCCCCCCCCCCCNNNNNNNNNNNNNNNNNNNNNNNNNNNNNNNNNNNNNNNNNNNNNNNNNNNNNNNNNNNNNNNNNNNNNNNNNNNNNNNNNNNNNNNNNNNNNNNNNNNNAAACUUCUUGCAUGGUACUGUUGUCACACAUUGAAUCGGAANNNNNNNNNNNNNNNNNNNNNNNNGGAAGAGCAUGACAUCUCCUUCCUGCACAAUAUAUUCCUUCCCUUCCAACCUCAUCUGCAGUCACAGGGAGGGCAGGAAAUAAAUACAUUUUCUUGAGCGCUUCAUCUCCAACACUAGUAUUUAUUCAUAUAAGUGCAGAUGUUGUUACCAGUCCCUUCUCCCUUGCUGCUCCAAGAGAACCCGCCGCAACAAAAUCAUCGUAAGAUACCUGAGUCAUGGUAUGUGACCGUUGUGAAAUUAUUACAAUAACACAAGCAAAUAAUGGUAUAGUACAUGAAAAGAGAACAUGCAGCUAUCUUAAUACUAGCACGGAACCCUGAUACUUACAGUUUCAGCUCUAAUGAAGCCUUUCUGGAAGUCGCUAUGAAUAACUCCGGCUGCUUGAGGUGCAGUCAUGCCUAUAACAAUAACAUCCAAGACAAAACAUGGUCAAAACUUUGUGCCCACGGUGCAAAAAGAUGAAGGCAGUUCCUACGGUAAUUGAAAUAAUAUAAUAACAGCAUUGUGAGGAUGCGAAUAAAACCUGAAAUAAUGGUCCAAGCUUUUGUUUCCUGACAAAAGAAAAAAAGAUUUUGAAAGUUAGGAUCAAUAGCUGAAGAAUAAAGUGUCUUGACAGCAGAAGAGAUUCACCUGCUCUCCGGUAGUGAAAUAAGUUCUUAGUCCCAAAAGGUUAUAGGUUGCUUUUACCAAGUUGCCUAGCCCACUUUCAGCAACAUCAAGAGAAUUUAGGUAUUCAACUCUCUCUUCUAGUGGUAGUUCAGACAGUUCAGCCUCAACCUGGUGCACUCCACAAUUUCAUUAGCUUACACAGAUAAUAGAUUAGGUGAAAUUGUCUAAUGCCUAGGUCGAUGCGUAUGGUCUCACUUAUCACAAACCUGAGCUGAUAUUGUAACCAUGCCAGAUUUCAGCUCUGAUGCUAGCUUGGCCACCUCUUGGACAUGGGGAUUUUUAUCAGGGUCGGCAAGAUCAGACUCUGUUACAUUAGCAACAUAAAUGACUGGCUUCAUAGUGAGCAGAUAAAGAUGUUGUAUAGCUUCUUUCUCAUGGUCAGGCAAAUCAACAGAUCUUGCAGGCUUUCCAUCCAUAAGUGCAUCCAGAAUUUUUUCUAAUCCUGACCUUUCCGCUCCUUCCUGAGUAGGGAAAACUAGAAUCAAGAACAAAACCUAUCAAAUAAUGGUAGAGUUUGUGAAUACAUUACUUACCUUCACUUUUACUUGUGGAUCCUUAGUUUUGCUCUUUUUAAGCUUAUCCAAUCUCUUCUCUAUCUGAUUUUAUUUACAAAAUUGUCUUGGUUAAGAUAUGAACAUAAAUAAAAUAAUAAAUCCAUACAUAAAUCCUUCAUCCUACUAAGCAAGGAAAUGGAGAUAGCAGAACUUUUCAUUAUACUACCUGUUCAAGAUCACAAAAUAUGAGUUCUAAGUUAAUCACAUCAAUAUCUGACUUGGGAUCAACUUUUCCAUUCACGUGAACAAUAUCAUCAUCUUCAAAACAUCGCACAACCUGAAAAUCCAAUGAAGAAAAGAUUGGUGCUAAGUUAAUCCUUAGAACCUGAACAACCAAACUAAAUCUAUGGCGGCAAAACAAGGACCAAGUCCCAUUACUGAAUAGCAGGGCCAGAAAAAGAAGGCAAUCAUUGGAUGUUCAAACAUUGUACAACUGCUGAACUGAAGGCAAAGGAACAUCUAUUGGAGAAUUAUAGUGAUUCAAACUCUGCAAAAUAAGAGGAUACCAACAGAAUGGUAUGCAGCAGUUGAGAAACAUGGGAAUGCGGCUAGUAAAAAAGAUGCAAAGUUUUAGUUUCCAGAAACUUGACAAAUGCCUGAGAGGUGAGAGCACAAACAUACACAAGGAAGUCAGCAAACUGACCUGGAGUAUAGAAUCCACUUCACGGAUGUUUGAAAGAAAUUGAUUUCCCAGUCCCUGAAGUCAACAACCAGGUAAACAUUUUCCUAUGUAAACUAGUGAAAAACAAUCAUCAACAUGUUCUGUGCUGCACUUGGAGUAAACACGACGAAGAGAACCGGUACCUCUCCUUUGCUUGCUCCUUUGACGAGGCCUGCAAUGUCGACAAGCUCAAUGGAUGUUGGGACCGUCUGCUUGGACUUGCUUAAUUUCGAGAGCACUUGCAAGCGAGGAUCAGGAAUGGCCACGACGCCUGUGUUUGGGUUUAUGGUGCAGAAGGGGAAGUUUGCAGCUUGGGCCUUCCCAUUUUCAACCUAAUAACAUCGAGAAACGAACUCACAUUCUGUUAUUACGAGAAAUAAACGCCAAUUGCAUUUCACAUCUCACAUCACGAUCCAUGAAGCAUAAAAACCGUUCCAUCAAGCAAUCAUCGUCGCAAGAACAUAAAUUACGCAGUGAGCGCAAGUAACACAAGAAACAAUCAAACAAGGGAAAAUCCAACAAAACUUUCUUGAUGUUCAAAGCAUAUUAACCGUUUCAACCUUUGGACAACAGCAUCUCUAAGCGGCAAAACAUCAAACAGUUCAAAUGCAGUGACAUUGCCCCCCCCNNNNNNNNNNNNNNNNNNNNNNNNNNNNNNNNNNNNNNNNNNNNNNNNCCCCCACGGGGCUACCUCGAGCUCGUCUGGUAGAAAAACCAGUGCACUAAUCGAAAGGCCUCUUCACAGAAACGAAGGUUCAUUGCCCCCGGCUACCUCGAGCUAUCGACGAGAUGGCAUCCUUGUCACGGACAGGAGUAUAUAUAUUUUUCCAAUUUCAAGCAGCGGGUUCUGUAUGUGCUCAAUUGGGUUACUUACAAUGGCGUUGAAGAGGGUGGACUUGCCGACGUUGGGCAGGCCGACGAUGCCGGCUCGGAGGCUCAUGCUGAUCUUGGCGUUGCGUCCCGAAGAGUACCGCCGCGCGCAGCCGCCCCCGACGACGCCGACGCCCCGGCUCCGCUGCCAGCGCAGGAGCAGCGCCGAGGAUGCGCACGAGGAGGGCAACGGCAAGGGCGUCGUCGCCGGCACGGCCGGCGUCCGAGUGAACCCCACGAACGCCGAGCCGAGGGCGCGGGACAUCGUCGCCAUGAGAGCGGCCGCCGCCGGCGCAGGAGCGUACGGCGAGAGAGGCGCGAGGGACUAGCGCGAGAUAGAAUAGAACGAUAGGAGCACGCGAGCGGCACGUGAGUGAGAGUUGAAAGCCAUAACUUUUCGCCUCGUUUUCCCUCCCUCCUCGCCUCGUCUCGCCGGCGCUGCCAUGCGCCGCCGCGUCCUCCUCCGCCUCAGGCCGCCGGCGCGGCGACGCCUCUGCGCGGCGCUCACGACCGCGGCCUCUACGACGUCCGCCCCUCCCAGCGCCUACCGCCUGCUGGCGCUCCUCCGCGGCUGCGUCGCGCCGUCGCACCUCCCGCUCGGCCUCCGCAUCCACGCGCGCGCCGUCACCUCCGGCCUCCUCGCGGCCGCCGACGGGAACGUGCCGGCUGCGGACGCGCUCCAUACGCGCCUCAUCGGCAUGUACGUCCUGGCGCGGCGCUUCCGCGACGCCGUCGCGGUCUUCUCCUCGCUCCCGCGCGCCGCCGCGUCGUCGGCGCUCCCCUGGAACUGGCUCAUCCGCGGGCUCACCAUGGCCGGGCACCACCGCUUCGCCGUGCUCUUCUACGUCAAGAUGUGGGCCCACCCCUCCGCGCCGCGGCCGGACGGCCACACCCUCCCCUACGUCGUCAAGUCGUGCGCCGCGCUCGGCGCGCUCGCCCUCGGCCGCCUCGUGCACCGCACCGCGCGGACGCUCGGGCUCGACCGCGACAUGUACGUCGGGAGCGCGCUCAUCAAGAUGUACGCGGACGCCGGCCUCCUCGGCCGCGCGCGCGAGGUGUUCGACGGAAUGGCCGAGCGGGACUGCGUCCUGUGGAACGUGAUGAUGGACGGGUACGUCAAGGGCGGCGACGUGGCCAGUGCGGUGGGGCUGUUUGGAGCCAUGAGGGCGUCCCGCUGCGAUCCCAACUUCGCGACCCUGGCGUGCUUUCUGUCUGUGUGCGCCACGGAGGCCGACUUGCUUUCAGGGGUGCAGAUCCACACCCUGGCGGUGAAGUACGGGUUAGAGCCGGAGGUCGCGGUGGCCAAUACGUUGGUGUCGAUGUACGCCAAAUGCCAGUGCUUGGAUGAUGCGUGGAGGCUGUUUGACCUGAUGCCACGGGACGAUCUGGUAACCUGGAACGGGAUGAUAUCUGGGUGCGUCCAGAACGGGCUUGUCGACAAUGCAUUGCGAUUGUUCUGUGACAUGCAGAAGUGCGGGCUUCAGCCUGAUUCAGUUACACUGGCGAGCUUGUUACCGGCUUUGACUGAUUUGAAUGGUUUCAAGCAGGGGAAGGAGACACAUGGCUACAUUAUCAGGAACUGUGUGCAUUUGGAUGUCUUCUUGGUGAGUGCUUUGGUGGACAUAUAUUUCAAGUGCAGGGAUGUGAGGAUGGCACAGAAUGUCUUUGAUGCUACAAAGACCAUUGAUGUGGUUAUUGGUAGUACAAUGAUCUCGGGUUAUGUUCUUAAUGGGAUGAGUGAGGGGGCAGUGAAAAUGUUUCGGUACCUGUUGGAAGUGGGCAUCAAACCAAAUGCUGUCAUGGUAGCUAGCACGUUGCCAGCAUGUGCUUGCAUGGCUGCUAUGAAGCUUGGUCAGGAGCUCCAUGGGCAUGUUCUGAAAAAUGCAUAUGAAGGAAGGUGUUAUGUGGAGAGUGCGUUAAUGGACAUGUAUGCGAAAUGCGGUAGACUUGACCUUAGCCACUAUAUCUUCUCUAAGAUGUCUGCUAAGGACGAGGUGACAUGGAACUCGAUGAUUUCAAGCUGUGCACAGAAUGGGGAACCUGAAGAAGCUCUUGAGCUGUUUCGUCAAAUGAGUAUGGAAGGUGUGAAGUACAAUAAUGUGACCAUAUCUUCCAUCCUGUCAGCAUGUGCAGGCUUACCAGCUAUAUAUUAUGGAAAGGAGAUCCAUGGUAUCAUCAUAAAGGGUCCCAUCAGAGCAGACGUGUUUGCUGAGAGUGCUCUCAUAGAUAUGUAUGGAAAAUGUGGGAACUUAGAAUUGGCUUUUCGUGUUUUUGAAUUCAUGCCUGAGAAGAAUGAAGUGUCAUGGAAUAGUAUAAUCUCUGCCUAUGGGGCUCAUGGUCUUGUUAAAGAGUCAGUGAGUUUACUAUGCCGCAUGCAAGAAGAAGGAUUCAGCGCAGAUCAUGUAACAUUCCUUGCUUUGAUAUCUGCUUGUGCUCACGCUGGGCAGGUUCAAGAAGGACUCCGGCUUUUUCAAUGCAUGACUGAGGAACAUCACAUUGCACCUCGAGUGGAACACUUAGCUUGCAUGGUUGACUUAUAUAGCCGGGCUGGGAAGUUGGAUAAAGCCAUGCAAUUUAUUGCUGACAUGCCUUUCAAGCCGGAUGCUGGUAUUUGGGGUGCUCUUCUCCAUGCUUGCCGUGUGCAUCGCAACGUUGAACUUGCAGAGAUUGCUUCUCAAGAACUAUUCAAGUUGGAUCCUCAUAAUUCAGGUUAUUAUGUGCUCAUGUCCAAUAUCAAUGCUGUUGCUGGACGAUGGGAUGGUGUGUCAAAAAUGAGAAGAUUGAUGAAGGAUAAGAAAGUCCAGAAGAUACCCGGUUACAGUUGGGUAGAUGUUAAUAAUACCAGCCAUUUAUUUGUUGCAGCAGACAAAAGCCACCCUGAUUCUGAAGAUAUUUACAUGUCUUUGAAGAGCCUUCUUCUAGAAUUAAAACAUGAAGGUUACGUUCCCAGGCCAGACAUAUGUCAUAUCAUGCAACCAGACAACAUCACCCAGGUUGAGCAAUAAUUUCUCAGCAAAUUAUUUUAUUCACCAUGCAUUUUCAUAGUUCAAACCCUUGUUCAACCAUUGUGUUAUUCUUUGCUCUUAUCACCUUCUGUAACUAAAAUGCUACAAAAAUGAACUAUUUGGACAAGGUAUCCUGUUUUGCUGAUCCAUCCAUAUCAAAUUUCAUGAGACAGUCAGAUCAUACCUAAAAUUGAGGAUCAGUUAAUGUGUUCAGGAACCAGGAUCAGGCAUACUGUUAUUGCUAAUGAGGUGACAGCAUGUUACAUUUCCCCUUUAACCUAGUUUGCAGCUUAGUUGAAAAAUAUUGUUCUGGUAUAUCUUUUUCUUCUUCUCGCACACGCACCCAAAUGCGUGUCAUUUUGUAUUAGGAGUCGAAGAACUAAGAACCAAAGCCGACCAAAACCCAAAACUGUACAGUUAGCCUACUGUGAGCAGGGUGCUGGUCUAGUGUUGUUCGUCUAUGAUGUAUAUAACGCCUCUCUGUUAUUGAGUAUCUUCUGGCAAGCCAUUACAGAAAAGCCAUUUUCAAUCUGGUAUAGUCGUUUAGUGAUUUGUUUUCUUGUUUUGUUCUGUUGCUUUUUUUUUUUUUUGGCGGGAAUGUUUUAUUCUGUCGCUAUGUUGCUGCAGAAGGCAAGGUUGGGCAAUUUGGAAGCCUGUUAUGCAGUUAGUUAUGUCUUCUCCAUGCAAUUUAGAGCAUACUAAUGUUCUUAUCUUACCGUAGGUAAUGGCAAUUUGAUUGUGAUUUCUCCAAAUGGAAGUUAACUGAUCUUCUGAUGAUGAUAAAAGGAGAACUCGUUAUUAUACAAAUCGUUGCAUAGAGCAGAGCAAGCUUCUAAUGCAGUACGAUUCAAUGUUUUCAUGUGAAGAAGCAUGAGUUGACUUGCCUGUACAUUGGCUGAACCUUAAAUGCUCAAUUCAGAGCACUAAGAAGCAGUAAGCACACAGGCCCCUUUUGUUUUGUUUGUUUUCUGGUUAACUUUUUGUCAUCCUUUGCAAAGAUAUGAUAGUUGUCAGAAAAAGCAUAUUCUCAUUUUUCUCCUUUUUGUUUAACUCAUACUACACCAGUUCUAAUUCCUAGCAUUAUACUUCUACAGGAAUUCAAAUGACCAUGGAAUGUGCCAGGUCCAUCUUGGUCGUGUAUCACCUGUACAUAGCCGCUGCUUCUUUCCGAUCAGCAAAGUUCAUAUAAACUCUUUGUAGGCUUAAACUCUCAACGCUGACAGUUUAUUUCUUGGACUGUGUAAGUUCUGCUGGCUAACCUAUAUGGCUUUUCGUCUUGAACUUGGGCAUCAUUGUUCUAUUUUUGCGCAAUUACUGUUCUAGAAGCUGUAGAUCUUGUUAUGAGCCCCUUGAGAUUUCUAAGUUUUUCUCUGGUGAAAAGAAAAUGUAAAAGUGCUAUCCCGGAUAGAUACAUCGAAAAUAUUGGUGUACAUACUGCUCAAGUUGAUCACUUUUGUCCAGUCACAUGAACAAAAAGAUCAUAUAGUUCUGUUGCGUUCUGUUUUGAGUGCUUCUGCCUUCUACAGAGUUUUUUUUUUGUCAUUACGUAACAUAGUUAUGCAGGUUGUGCCUGUGAACUGAAAACCAUAAGAACAUGUGAGCUUCAACAUUUUCACAGGACAUGCUUUAUAUCUUUCCUGAAAAUGUGGUCGUGGAUAAAACAAAGCUGUGCUGUAGUUGUACGGCAUGGUUAACGAUGAAAUGUGAGGGACCUGUUGAGUCAGUUGAUCAUUGUUACCGAUCUAAAGGUAAUUUUAUUGUUUCUGCCUACUGCUAUGCGUACAUCUUAUGAACAAGUCUUACAACAUUGAAAUGAUCGCGAUAGAUGCUUGAAUUUAUGUCACAGGGCUUUGGACCUAGAACAGAGCCCCCCUUGGUGGUAUUGCUUGGAGAUAUCCAAUAGGUCUGUUCAAUCUUGACAAGAAAUAUUAUCAUUGGAUGACUAGUACUCCCUCCGUUCCUAAAUAUAAGUCUUUGUAGAGAUUUUACUAAUGGACUACAUACGGAUGUAUAUAGACAUACUUUAGAGUAUAGAUUCAAUCAUUUUGGUCCGUAUGUAGACCCUUAGUGAAAUCGCUUAAAAGACCUAUAUUUAGGAACGGAGGGAGUACAUGAUAACUUUGUGAAAAUCCACAUUUGUUCUCCAGAAGUUUCUGAACAGAACAUGGAACAGUAGCAAUUGGUUAGCUGUAUUUGUUUCUCGUAUGAGUUCAUACUUCAUAGUACUCCGUACUUGAUAUUGAACUCAGUCGCAGAGAAGUAACCCAAUAUACACAAUACUUCUGACAUCGGCCGAUGUUUUGGUUCCAUAAUUAGAACUUGAACAAUACUAACAAUCUCACAUGCUCAAGUUUGGCAUGGUUAAUCUCAAGGACACUUUACAUGUCAUAAAUCAUGCUUGUUAACUCUUUAACUCAUAUCUCAUCAUCCAAUAUUUUCAGAUCGUUUGGAAGCUUCUCGCGCCGUAUCCGUGCAAGACUCUGGGGAUUUCUUGUGGCGUCCAGCAUCCUAUCCAAGAAUUGAACGAACCGGCGAUCCUCGUGAGCAACCUGUGGGUCUGAAAACCUACUGAGGUUAUCUUGAUCCUGCACCAUUACCAGCAAUACGCACCGAUAAAUAGGCGGACUCUUCAAGGGAAGCAACAGAUACAUGGCACUAAGACUAACCAUCCUCCAGAUAUACCAGUGUUGUUUAUUCAUUCAGAGGUAUGUACUAGUACAUGUUAGGUUUGGUUUCAUGGCUACCUUAUCAUCCGAUUCGCAACUGUAAAUAACAAGCUGAACAAUCUUGCAUUUAUUCGCUCAAACCAAGAAAGCCUUGAACCGUUGUGCGUAAAGAAACAUGUUAAUUUGGUGGAGAAACAUGAGUACUGAAUGCUUUGCCCAUGAGCCGAGUUACAGGAAGAGACACCGCAUCCAUUACUGGGGGAGAGAAAUUUAGGGGGGUAAAGUAAAGAAGGGCGAACCUUGCUUGCGCUGCCGGCACCGGCUUGCUCACACGCGCUGCUGCAGAAGGACGGAUGGCUCGCCAGAGAAACGAGCCGGCGGAGCCCCUCCCUGCCGUUCAACAGCAGCGGCCGGCGCUCAACGCCGGCCAGACGGCAGAUGGAACUGAUCCUCCCGAGCAGCAUCUCCGACGCCAUGCUUUGUUCCCCUCUCCUCUAGCUUUCCCCUGCUCCAAGCACUUGGGUACGUAGGAAGAGAAUAUAGCGUCCAAGUGUAUUAGUAGCGGCAGGAGUACGCAAGGUAUCGCAUCAUCUUGGCCGGUCGCGGAAGGCGUCGGUGGGUGACCUCGUUUGAACCGACCGGGUCCUACUGACCGUUGACCGGUAGCACAGCGUUAGCUGAAACUUUAGGCCCUGUUUGUUUAAGUCCCAGGAUUUUUUUAGUCCCAACUAAAAAGUUUCUAGUCCCUACCCGUUUGUUUUUAUGGACUAAACAGAGACUAGAGGUCAUUAAAUGACAUGCUAAAAGUAGGGGUACUGUUGAAAAAAGUGUCAAAAAAGUCCAAAAAAACCCUUUCAUAGGGACUUCUUUUUUAGUCCCAAAUACCCCUCUUAGUCCCUAAAAAUCCCUUCUAUUUGUUUUACAUGGAAUUAAAAGAGACUUUUUUUAGUCCCUACAUCAAAAAGUUCCUGAAAACAAACACCCCCUUAGUAGUAGUUCUUUUUCUUUUUUCUAGAAGGGUUGAAGAAACUUUGGUGGAAGUGGAACCCGCUUGGCCUCUUCGCUGAUGGCUUCUGUUUCCAGUCCGCGGACUAGUAGGUAACCACGGCUCUUUACUUGGGAGAAAACGAGGGAGUAAUCAGCGGUCCGCCUCUGAGCUGUGAUACAAUAACCUACUAAUAGUAGGACUAAGCGUGGCUUCCAAUCCAAGUUAAGUACCCCAGGCUUAGUUAGCCAUGGUUGAUCGCAGCCAUAGCCAUGCAUUCCUUUGUGUGAACGGCUGGGUCAGAGACGGUCCAUCGCAAUACGCAGGUCACAGUAGUAGUGAACUUUGGAAGCGUAGAGCUUUUUUAGCUGGUCCAGUUUGGCUCCCCGGAGCACUUGCUUCCGCGUGUGAAAAUGUUUUUUAAAAUGUAAAAAAACAACAGUUUUUUUUUAAUGUAUUCAUAGUCACAUCCAAAUGCUACCUGCAAAGUUUUACGCAAAAAUGGUUAAAUAUUUUGGCAUGUGCACAUAUAUAAAUUAAUUGAACACUAAAUGUUACCGACCAAAAUAUCAUCCCAAAUUUGAUUUUUUUUUCACCGACGGAACACUAUUGCUUUGUUUCGCUUGGAAAUUGCCAAGCAUGCUUGCGACGCUAACUCGAACAUCCAAAAAAAACCAGAUUUUUUUGAAAACAUAUUCAUAACUUUUUCAGGCACUUCUCUUGGAACUGGAAGAUGCCCUCACAAAACUCUCAUCACAUGACCAGCUUAUAUAACAAGUCAAAAACAAAAAACUUAUGUAAAAAUAUUCAGGCUGCAGGUGGGACUGUAGGUGGGCAUCCCACCACAACCCCACCCAGUCCCACCGCUCUUGAUGGACAUUAGGGGACAAACCCACUAGAAUUUGAUGGAUUAAGUGGGAAUAAGUGGAAACCCAUCAGAAAAAAGAAUACACACAACACAAAGCGAGAAAGGCUACAGGUUUUCGCAUCCCACUUCAAACAAAACUUUGGACAUGUCACACAUAAUUUUACCAUCAGCGACGUCGGACAGUACAAAAAAUAGCUAUCACACGUUUUGACUCGUUGCAUUUUUCUUUUCCUCUUCCAGCUAGGUCACAACAGAUUCUCCCAUCGAAAUGCGGGGGAAAUGGUUGUUCUCUGCAACUCAAUUGUAGAUUUAUGUGUUUGGUAUCACCGAUGACUUCUGAUCCAAGACCUGAACCUCCCCUUUCGACGCGAUGAUAGCAUACGGCCUGCAUGUAACAGAAUGUGAUAUCUUAGACACGGUAGCUCGUAACUGCAUACGAGUUGCUUGCUUGGUCUGAUAGUUUUUUUGUUUUGUUUCUGAAACAUGCUGCUGGUUAAGAACUGGAUUUUCGCUAUGCAGUUUUCUUAGGUUGAGAAACUCACGUAGUGUUGCAAAUUAUCCCAUGGUCAACAACGCCGACGAUUUUCUCCAAGCCUUCCGCUACCUUUCCUGCAAGGUGACCAAGGCAAACCAGAUAAACCUCCAUUGGAGAGAUAGUUACUAAAUUAUCAUGUCAAAUUUAGACCCUCAAAUUGACAUACAUACCAAGAUCCUGGAUGGGGGUUGUGAAGAUAACAUCAAGUAUGUGAUGGCCCUCCUUGGUAACCAGCGGGAAGUCGCCUCCCGAUGGACCGGCAGUUCCAAUGGAUGGCCUCCUCCAAACCUUCGGGCAAUCACACAAUGGGUCGGCAUGGACAGGUUUCAGGUUCAGAAAUCUAGUGUUAAGUAAUUAUCAGAUCGAUGGGCGGCACAUACCUCUGCGUCGCCUAGGAACAAAUCAUCAAUCUCUUCAGCGGUGUCAAUCCAGUUUCCCUGAAAUGAUCUGCUCCUCUCUUAAUGAACACUACACGAAACUGAUAUGGUCUCUGCCAGAAGAUAAGAGAUUGCUUACACUUUUGACCAAAACUGGAAUGGAACCCUCGAUGCCACUCACAUAUUUGUCGUUGUCAAUUAUAAAGGCAACCUUGUCAGCUGAUUUAACAAUACCCUGUGGAUCCAGAGCAAUCAAGAGUUGCAUAUAGGAAGAUGUAUUUAUAAUAUAAUUGACAUAACAGAAGUAUCUGCAGUGAACACGAGCAAAUAGUUACUCCCUCUGUAAAGAAAUACAGGAUUGUUUAUAGAUCACUAAAGUAGUGAUCUAAACGAUCUUAUAUUUCUUUACAGAGGGAGUACAUCAUAUUCUUUUUUCUUCAGAAAACAGCGACAGUUCCAUUUGAUGAACUUACUAUGCUGCAUGCUUGUUCAAUUUUUCAGGAAACAAAUGGACACGUGAUGGUCUAGGCACGAGUCAGGGAGCCUGAAUGAAAUGGUUAAUAAUUGGUUUCUGAAGAGUCGUGCUAACCUUCUCUUGGAUGAAAGAGGGCUCUCCACUCUCGAUUUUUCCGCGCCCGAUGACAGCAGCGAGUGUGCCCUCUUCAAUUACAUCAGCAUCAGUGAAAGCAAAAUCAAUCUAUACGUCAGCGAGCAUGGUUUCAGCCAAAAUUCUCUUAUUUCUUGCCUGCAAGAUUACAAUGGUGACAACAGAAGAGAGCAUACAUACUUGGGCGCCUUCCUCGUGGCUGCCGACCUUUAUCCCUGCUUUCUCCGCCUCACUUGCACAGAUCACAGACCUGGCUGAUCAACCCCAACAACCGAUUAGACGCAACCGAUGAUCAGAGCGAGCGAAUGCAUGAGGCAUCGCAGCAGAAUGUAAGUAAAGCUCAUUUGGUAUUUGGUAAGCACAAAUGCAAGCAAUCGGAACGCUCACGAGGGUAUGCCGACGAUGCCGGUCAGCGAGCCUCGCCGGAGGCGCGUGCCGAGGUACUGGACGGCGAGCCCCGACGCGGCGCCGGAGCCGAGCCCGACCACCAUGCCGCUCUUCACGAACUCGUCCACCUGAGCCAACGCCGCAUAAACAUAACACGAGAUAAGUGCCUCAGCAUUCAGCGGAAGCCGCCGUGGAUGCCGGCGUGCGGAAGCGUCGGCGAGCGCUCUCCCUUAUUACCGUGAGCUUGGCGGCGUCGAAGAGGCGGACGACGUCGGCGUCGGCGGCGGCCGCGCAGGCCACCGGACGUCGUCCCCGGAGGCACCGCGCGGCGUGGCGCUGGCUUGGCCGGCACAGGGGGACCCGCGCGUGCGAGCUCGCCGCGAUGCUUGCUCUGGCGACUGCCUCCAUGGAGACGAGCGGCGAUGGCGGGGGCUGCCUCUCUGCUCGAGCGUCAGCUUCGCCGGUGUGGCGGAGCGGUUUCGAGACCUGCCACACAGUCUGGGUGAGCACCGCCGCUUCAGAGGAUAAGGUGCGUGACAGAGCGCAAGCGACGCGGCAAUUCCAAGCGAAAUACUACUACCAACUCCGUCAAAACAGUCAAAAUUGACAAAAAUGACCCUUCGGACGAAAGAACUCACGGAUUGACCCCUCGGAGGAAAUAAUUCACCGGCCUGACCCUUUUGUAUGGCGCCCGACACCUAGGCGCCACACUGUACUGUGUGACGCCUAGAGGUUAGGCGCCACACCCCCGACCACGUGGCAGGGAGGGCCCCACCCCCAGGCAGUGUGUCUCAUCCCCUCCCUAAUCCCCUCCCCCAUCUCCUUCAGAUCUGAGGAUUUCUUCCUUGGAUUGAUCCCCCAAGGUAAUGUCCUCCCCCAUCCCUUCCCUUUCCCAUCCUUCUAUCCAAUUUUAUUAUGUUUUGGUUGAGUAGAUUGAUUUUAGUAGAUUGAUUUGAGUAGGUUUUUAGGAUUUGACUAGUUAGGAUUUGGUUGAGUAUAUGAGUAGUUAGUAGUUAGUAGUAGUAGUAGGUAUAGGAAUUGCAUUAGGUUUUGACUAGUUAGUAUAUGAGUUAGGAUUUGCAUUAGGUUUUAACUAGUUAGGAUAUGAGUUAGGUUUUGACUAGUUAGGAUAUGAGUUAGGAUUUGACUAGUUAGUAUAUGACUAGUUAGUAGUUAGUAGUAGUAGUAGUUAGUAGUAGUAGGUAUAGGAAUUGCAUUAGGUUUUGGUUUGUAGUUAGUGGUAGUAGUUAGUAUUAGUAGUAGUUCAUAUGAGUAUAUGAGUCUUAUUUGAAUAUUAGUAAAUGAGUAUUUUUUUGUGAUUUGUAGGAUGGUGUGGCUUCUGAAUGAUAUUUAUGACGCUGAACACCGGGCCUAUUUCAUGUCGGAGAAGAAGAUGGUAAAUAGAAAAUGAUUAGUAGAUUAGUAAUAUUUUGAAAAUGUAAUAAGCACUUGAUAUCUUCUUCUCCUAUAUGUUUGCAGGAGCUUACGCCCCUGAAGAUCCGGUCUCAUGGGGCAUCCUCUGUAAUGCAUUACGAUGAGCGGUACACCCCGUACAUCGAGAUGACGGGACUCCUUCCAUUCGUGCAGCUUGUGAGUCGGUCAACUCCAAAUCUGAACGCUGCGGCAGUCACAGCACUCAUUGAUCGUUGGAGGCCGGAGACACAUAGUUUUCACCUCCGGACCGGAGAGAUGACGGUUACUCUUCAAGAUGUUUCCAUGAUCACCGCUCUUCCAUUACCCCCGCUCUUCCCAUCGAGGGGAAGCCACUAUGUAUGAGCACUGAUUCUGAGGGAUGGCGGCAUCAAAUGGAGGCUCUUGUAUGUCGCCGCAAGAGCCGGAGGUGGAAGAUGGAGGGAAGAAAGAUAGAGUCCCUGCCGGCGCCACUUUCACUUGGAUUGCCGCCAACUUUGCUCAUUGUCCUGAGGACGCAGAUGACGAGGUCAUCCAGAGGUAUGCUCGCGUCUACAUGUGGUACGUCAUCUCUAGGACUAUUUUUGCGGACGGCACAGGCAAGAAUGCUCCUUGGAUGUGGCUGAAGGCGUUGACUGUUCUAGACAACAAGUUCAGCUAGGGCUCGGCCGCACUGGCUUACUUGUAUCGGCAGGUAAUAAAUUGUUAAUAUUAAGUACUCUCUGUUAUCUUUUUCUGCUAAACUGAUGCAUGUUUGUUGUUACUUGUAGUUGGACGAUGCUUGUCGCAGGAUGACAAAGGACGGUGGAGUUGGUGGUUGUAUGCUCCUACUUUCAGUAUGGAGCUGGGAACGCCUACCUGUUGGAUGCCCUAAAAGCUCAAAGUGGAAUACCUGGGAUGACCACGACAACCCUGUACGGCAACCUACAUGGGCUUACAAGUGGGACUUGGUAUCGGAGGUGGCAAGCGAAGUGAACCUAUUGUACAAGCAAUACACCAACGAGAUGGAUUCGCUUACCCCCGAGCAGGUAAGAUGGUUUCAGAGUUGACUUCCAGCUUCUAUGUUGUGAGUGAAAUGAAUUGUGGUAUUCAUCUUGUGUUGUAGGUUGAAUGGGAGCCAUAUGGUGUCGGGACAAACUUUGGUGAUGCACACACGUUCGAGCUGAAUGCACUAUGCGUGCAGGAAAGACAUCUUUGGCUAAUGCGUUGUCCCCUAAUAUGCAAUUGGGCGGUUGAGUGGCAUCUCCCGCAUCGUGUGCUACGUCAAUUUGGUUACUUUCAGCCACACCCGCCGGAGUGGGUGGACACGGACACACAGCUUCACAGGUAGCAAAAAAUAAUUAGUGAUUAGUUUUGUUCUUAGUGUUGAGCGAGCUACUGAUGUGUUUUGUUCAAAGCAGGUUGGAUAGGAGGAGGCAGCGAAAAAUCAAGGACUGGCAGAAGCAUCAUAAGAGCUACGUCCUUAUGUUCGAGCAAAGUGUGCAGGCAACUUCGAGCAUACAACGAA
rnacentral:lncRNA from 1 species